rnacentral:lncRNA from 1 species
UCCCUUUUUUAUUAUGUUGUCGCGUGUUAAUUUUCUGGUUGUCGCAUUCAUCAUCGCAUCAUUCGCAUCAUCCACAUUGCAUCGGCAAUCCGUUGCCGCCAUUUUUCAAAACUUGCAUCCGUUAUUAGUUGACGCGUCUUUGUGUUCUUGUCGUUGACCGUUCCGAGACCAACCGCACACGCACGCUCCCGCGACAUCGUUAAAAUAUUGUUUUUAAAAGUGUGUAUAAAACUUUCUCGGAUUGGGCCGAAAGUUGGCGUCCGGUCUUAAUGCACUUUAUGUAGACCGCCUGUCAUAUUUCAUCGCAAUCGAAAUCUGUUUAAUACCCGACUGUUCGAUUGUAGUGGCCCUGUCAUCGGUUUAUUCGUUGGACGUUUUCUCGGUUUUAUAAACUCUGUCAUGGACCGCACCAUUUCCCUCUCAUCUUGGCCUAACCCACCUCUACAUAUCCCACUUCAACCCAACAAAACAACCUCUCUGAUCGGACCGUCCGAUCGCGAUCAGAGGGUAAAAAUGUCCCCAAACUGCAAAGCAUAGCUAUCCUGCCUAUCAAUAGACGGCCCUCCCUGCCUAUUUUGGGGUAAACCCUAGCUCCCCUCGAAAUCCAUGCCCCAACCGCCACUUGGGCCUCCCAGCCGCCAGCCACCUCUCCCACCACUGGCAGGCUCGUCGGAACCCAGAUCUGGAUCUCCCAGGCCGGGAUACAGCCGCGGCCGCGGCCCGCACGAGUCGUGCCUUGGGAGCCGCUCCUCUGGAGCUCCAUCAUGCACAAGCGCCCGCCCGCCCGACACCGUGCCACUAGCCAUCGAUCCUCCGCCGACCUGCAUUGCGCUCCCACACCAGAGCCUCGCCGCCCCCGCAGCCCCUCGUCGCCUCGUGCCCCGGCCGAACCUCGCCGCCGUGCCCAAGCCUCCCCGACCGAACCUCUCCCUCGAGGCCAUGGCGCCGAGCGCCCUUGUCCCCGCCUCCUCCUACGGUCGGUCCUCGCCGGAGCUCUCUGGUCUCAUCGGCCGCCGCCCCUUGUCCCCCACCGCGUUGUUGCCCGCUGGCUACCUCGGCGCGCCAUCGCCGCCACCUCCUACCCGAUCUAGGCCGGAUCGAGGAGCACGACGAGCUGCCCUCGCCCUCCCAGUCACCCACGUGGUCCAGGCCAGCAGGCCCACCUCCUCCGCCAAGGCUCGGCCUAACCUCCAGCCGGCUUGCUGCGACAAUGCUUGGCCAGACUCUAAGGCCGAGUCGACACCGCGUGUGGAGCACCAAGACGAGCGCCUAGGCCCAGCCGCUCGCCUCCUCGCCAGCCCAAGGCCACGCAGGGCUAGCUCUGAGCUGCUCCAUCGACCAACGCAGUUGGCCUACUGUGAGCAAGCCACCCCCUCUCUAUUAUGUGACGCUCAGAGCGUUAGAUAGCUAACCAACACCUAUUUCCUGUUUUAGAUUUGACCAAUGCAUGUUUUUUUCGCGCUGCGAAUUUAACAAAUAUUCUUAGACAUGCAUAAAUUUCAGUAAAGGCAUCAUUUUAAAAAUACAUAUAACUAAUUAUCCGUGCAUCACAUGUUAAAAUAUUAUAUAUAUAUAUAUAUAAUGUCUAGAGUUUGGUGUAGAUUAUUGAUUUCUAACUUUCAUGCAUGUUUAAAAUAGUUAAACGUGAUGUUUGCAUUUGCAGAUGCCAUAUUAUAAUUAUUUAAUUCAUAGCAAAUUAAUUGUGCAUCGGAAUUAUAAACUUAAUACAUGAAAAUACUUAAAAUUUUGUGUAGUCUCACAAUAUCCAACUCUAAUCCAUGUUUAAAAUGUUUAAACUUGUUGUUUAAUUAAAUUUGCGCAGAUGCCAUGUUGAAAUGAUUUAAUUCAUAAUUAAUUAACCGUAGCUUCCAUUAAAUUGAUCUACAUAUGUAACUUGAUCGAAAAAAUGAGUAGAAUAACAUAGUGGCAUUUAUUUUCGUGUUUAAAAACUCUAAAAUUAUGUUUUAGGGAGAUCUGCAGCAAAUUCAAAAUUACAUAAUGGGACUUUCAGGAAAUGUUAUUUGUUUUCCCAGCCUCAGUUAAACUUGCUUAGAAUUUAAUGUAUUUUUUAAUAUCUUGUGUAUCCAUGAUUUAACAUGUUGUGGCUCUCAUUUGCAUGCAUUUUGUAUUCGUGGCAUAUCAUGUUGUGUUGCUCAUAUCUUUUAAAUCAUAGAUCUGUUUACAAUGAUCUAUAUACGUAAAUCGAUUAGAAUGACGUGUAGAAUCGCAUGGUCCACUUUAUUUAGCUGUUUAAUAAAUAUAAAAUGUGAUUAGUUCAGAUCUGGACAGAUUUCAAAAUUAACACACGGGAUCAUUUCGGAAAUGCUAAAAGUUGUUUCCGACCUCAUUUAAAAUGCCUAGAUAGUGUAGUUUAUUUAUGCUUCACCUCUUGUCAUGUUUAACAACAUUUAACAUUGAUGAGUACCGAAAUGAGAGUGAAGUAAAUAUUUGAACACGGAGCUUCGUCAGUAUGCAACUCGUUGCAUAUUGCGCUUCACUUAAUGUGUAGUAUUUUAUUGUGGUGAUUGUCAUGCCUUGCAUAAUUAAACCAUACAUGCAUCAUUUGUGUUGUGCAUCAUAUCAUGCAUAUGUUGUGGUGUUAUUUUAUGUUGAUUCUUGUUUCGGAUUGCUUCUUUUCGAUAGAGUUCCGCAAGCAUGUUAGAGUGUGAGGAUUUGUACGACUAUAUUGGUUCGUCUGCUUCAUGGAUUUGUUCUUCUUCCAAGCGGGAUCACACGCAAGAUGCUCAUUUCCGGAGAUACCAUUACUAUCAUUGUCAUGCUAGUUGUCUCGUUUCUUUCACUAUGUCUCGCUAUCUACCACAUGUUUAAUAAGUCUCCCAACAUUGCCAUGAAAAGCCUCUAACCUUUCCACAACCCAGCAAACCACUGUUUGGCUAUGUUACUGCUUGCUCAACCUUCUUAUAGCGUUGCUAUUUGCAGGUGUAGUUGCUUCCAUGUGAAACAUGGGUUCCUUGUUAUAUCACCAUAUUAUUUCCAUUCAAUUUAAUGCACCUAUAUACCUGGUAAAAGGCGAAAGGCUUGGCCUUUUGGCUGGGUGUUUUUUUCCGAUUUUGCUGCCUUAGUUUUGGCUACCGGUGUUAAGUUCCAUACUGAGUGAUCCUAACAUGCUUGGGGUGUUAUGGGGACACCUUUGACUUCCGUUUUUUGGAUAAAACUCUUCUAGCAAGGCCCAUCAUUGGUACUAUAUUUGCCCAACAUAAUAAUACUGAAAAACAUAGCGCGUCAUGAACCCGAGGAGUAACUCAACAUAAUACAGGGGGACAGUGCUGACGGUGUUGGUCCCAAACGGGUUGCCUGCGAGGCCAACAUGAGGGAACUCGAGGAUUGGUUUUACUCGUAGCUAGUCCCAUCCGAUUGUGCCCUCAGAACGAGAUACAUGGCUCCUAUCGGGGAUGUCGGCACGUUGGGCGACAUUGAUGGAUUUUUUUACUUUUCUUGAAUGUCUUGUGCGAGGAAUUCCGUGGAUACUUUGGGCUAUCUCGAGGUUGAGGUUUUUCACUUGAAAUCCGAAGAGAUCACGGGUUCUCCACGGUUGAGGUUUCCGCCGAAGCGUGUGGUAGUUUGAGAUGGACUAGUUGAAGUACCCCUGCAGGGUUAAAUAUUUCAAAAAGUCGUGCCCAUAGUUAGGUGGAAAAUUGGAAACUUUGUUUAACAUCGGGUUCUAGAAAACUUGAAGUAAACUUAGAUAAAAUAUACCAACUAUGUGCGUAACCGUGACUGUCUCUUCUCAUGAGUUUUGCAUACGGAAGAGGACACACUGGGGUUAUAUACGACGUAAGUAGGUGUUCAGGAUCACUUUGAGAUCAUUAUUAGUUUACGGCCGUUUAUGCGUAGAUCACCCUCCUCUUAUUCUUGUAUGCGUAAGUUAGCCACCUCAAAUAAAUGCUUAGUUGCUUGUUCCAACCUCGCCGCUUAACCAUACCUCACCCGUUAAGCUUUGCUUGUCUUGAUACCUCUGGAAAUGAGAUUGAUUAGUCCACGUGACUCAUAGAUUACUACAACAAUAAUUGCAGGUACAGGUAAAGCGAUACUUUGACGUGAGUGCAAUGAUUGUUCUAUUUGGAGUUUCUUCUUCUUCUUCCUCGAUCUAGGACGAGUUCCAGGCCGGCAGCUCGGGAUAGCAAGGAUGGACGUCUUUCUUUUAUUGUUUCUUUUCCUCUGUUGUUGGACCCUACUCUUCUACAUUGUGAUUGAAUACAUUAUUCUAUUGUGUUAUUCAUGUUGUAGCUUGUGGCGAGUGUAAUCCAAUUCCGUUUACUCAUCUUUUCUGUACUUGUACUUGUAACGAUAUCCAUUCUUGCAAAACAACGAGAUGCCCUUCUUUCCGUGUCGUGGCCCUCGAGCCAAAAUAAGGAUAAGAUUGCAUCUUGGGCAUUACACCAAAUCCAAGAAGGAAACUACAGUUUUUCCGGGAUCGCUGUUUUUUGGGUAUCUUCUUCAAACUUUGCAUUGACACCACGUUCACAUGGACAUGUUUCUAUGUUCCUUUGAAUUUCACCCAAGAAAAUAAACAUUCUGAUAUUUGAUUCCACUUUUACUAUGCAAUAUACUGAAUAGGCUAUGAACAUACAGUGGACAAGUUGUUCAUCCAGGUGAUUUCUGUUGUUUUCUGGCAUUUUUGUAUACAAUUAUGAUUUUUUUUCAUGGGUUGUUUGAAAUUUACAUGGCAUCCAUAAAAUAUAAUUGAUGGGUUUGCAAUUCUCUUUUUUCUUAUAGAGAAAAGGUCAACUUAGAGUAUGAAUUCAAAAAUUUAUACCUGCAUAAUGAAGACGUGUGUCGCACGUGCAUGCUUACUAGUGCUACUAAAAAACAACCCCACAUGCUACUCUAUGUUGGUACUGCUCCACGCGCUCCAUGCACGGACUCGGACCCGAAGCUGUCCGUGAAUAGGCCCUAUUGGUAGUAGCCACCUCAAUUCAUGUGUAACCAGAUCUUUAGGGCAUUUGUUUUACUCUCUCCAUUCCUAAAUAUAUGUCUUUUAAGAGAUUACAUUAUAAACUAUAUACGAAUGUAUAUUGUCAUACUUUAGAAUGUAGAUUCAAUUAUUUUACUCUGUUUGCAGUUCAUAGUGAAAUCUCGGAAAAAACUUAUAUUUGAAAAAAGGAGGGAGUAGAUGAUAAGACAAUGUUUUUAUAUAUUCGAUACUAAGACUACUAAGCCCGUAAGGAUUCUUUUUUCUGGGUUUUUUAGACUUUUUUUAACGCUUCUAAGAAAAUGACACGUGCGCCUAGUAUGUUUCUCUUCCUCCAUUUGCUGGGUUUCAUCUCACCGCUUUGACCACUUAAUAGUAAAAGUUGUCUCGGAGUACUGAUGUGAUGGGUGGGCAGCCUAUAGUGCAUAUGCUUUCAUAAAAAUUAGGCUGUGCAGCGUGUUUGUGUUCUUUUGUUUAUUGUUAGAUGGGUGUGAUUGGCUCUCCUAGAAGGUUCCUCUUUAGAAAAAGAAUUAGCUUGACUGUACGUGUACGGGCUGGUUUUGUCUCAUGCGCAAAAAUCAGGUUGAUUGCACGUGCAUGUUCUAGAUGUGUAUGGGCUGGUUUUGUCUUGUGCACCGCUGCAUGGUUCAUGCAUGCAUGUGGCCAUGUUUCCUGUUGUAUACUGCCUCCGCUCUUAAAUAUAAGUCUUUUAGAAGAUUUUUUAAGAGACUACAUAUAGAAUAAAAUGAGUGAAUCUAUAUUUUCAAAUAUGUCUAUAUAUAUAUCCGUAUGUAAUUCUCUAGUGAAAUAUCUAAAAAGGCUUAUAUUAUGAAACGGAGGGAGUAGUUUCCUCUUUAUGUCAUCGAUGUACACGUUGUGUUCUGGGUUUCUUUUGUGGGUUUCAUUUUUUCCCUCUCCUUUUUCCUGCCUAUAAGUAGCUCUUUGCUCCUUCUCUCCUGUGUACUUCAUGUUUGUUUAGUCUCUAUUAUGGUUUCUGCUGUUGCGCAUGCUUCUCAGCGUGUUCAUUCGACGUCCUUGGGCUCCUCUUCUUUUGUUGGUGAUCCUGAUGGGGGUUGCUGGGGUUGGCUGUCGAUGGUGGUUCUAUUCCUGGUGAGUAUUGUUCUUUUUGGACCUUCAUUGGAAUGGUUUGAUUGUUGAUUUUUGCAGUCUUUUUGAUUGUGUUGGUGAUGUUGUGUGUUUUUAGGCUUGAGGGCUGAUGAGGCGGACGCCGCCGCCAGGAUCGGAUGCGGCUCCUUCGUCGUCUUCCUAGGACGCCCUCCCUUCAUCUCCUCUUCGUCGGGUCAUCAACCAUCGAGUAGGGAGGUGCACACAUAGGCCAUGGCUGAUUGAGGAGGAACUUGCUUCGGUGGGCUGUAGUGGCGGCUUGGAUUUCCUUCUCCCGAGGCGACACGGUGUUCCUCAACCCAAAUGUUUCCCUGAGGAGCACCACCAUGCCUCACCAUCGGACGCAUCACUGCAAGUACCACCACCACAAUAAUAUGUCGGUCCUUCAUUUCCCCAUCACCUACUAGCCAAGGUCCACCUCUGGGUAAGCUCCUUUGGGUUCAGUUAUGGCUUCUCAAGCACGCUAGAUUUUUCCCGUGAUUUCUUUUUUCAUGAUAGACCUGCGUUUUGUGGCGGAGUAGCAUAAAAAUUUCUAUUUCUUCACUAGUUUACUUGCCGAAGGUUAGAUUGCAAGAGGUGGCAAGCCGGUAGGAGGUAACCUCGAAAUCAGCGACAGUGAGCCGGUGACGACGGUGGUUGACACAAUGGCCGAGGGAAAUUUUCAAUUCGUGCUGCUUUUUUUUCUGAAUUAUUUGGAUCACAAUCACUUGAGUUUACUGUUUUUGCAGUGUCAAAUCAUCCAUCAUUGACACCUACAGGAUCCUGAUGCCACAGUAACUAAGCAAAAACAACAAACCCCAAACAAACCAAUGGAAUCUUGAACUAUUUUACCAUGAAUCAAUUCUUUAAACGACUUAUCAAAUAUUACACAAAAAACAAAACUAAAUAGUUAAUCAAUCCAUGUGGCGCCGCGUGCCGCCGCGCACUAUUUGCUAGUACUAUCUAGAGAAGCAAUAAAAUAUGUGAUCCAAUCAAUUAUUUUUUAAUGUUAUCUUUAUAUUUACCAUUACAAAUCCUAUAAAUAUAGGAGGAUUGAAAUAAAGACUAAAAUACAUGUGAAUAAUAGACGACUCAUACAAUGUCUUAGAUUUUUUUUCAUAAAUAUCGUCUCUUUUAUACCAUUGUUACUCGGUGAGAAAUAUAACAAUAUUCAAACCAGAGAUUACGGCUUUGGGGUCGACCCCGGUAACGAAAAAAGAAUCCAUAAAAACUUGGGAUCCAACACCAUGAUAAAAUACGACCCUCAUGGUUAAAACAUGUCCCUGAGAUUUGAUAAGAAAAUGUUGCAUUAGCGGUUAAUACGCUGUAAUUAAAUAAGUUAUUUGGAAUAUGACGGAACCAAAGACCAAGGAAUGGAAGAAGAAAGCACCAAAAUGCAAGUGCUGCACCAAACGCCGGUGGUUGUUUCUUGUUGUAAGUGCAUGCAACGAAAAGACCCAUAAAUAACGAAUAAUGAGAAAAUUCAUUUAUAAACAUUUCGUGCCCAUUUUCAAAUUUCUUCUUAGUUAUAUACUGAGAAUUGACAUAAUAGAUAAUUUACAUGUGGUUGGAUGGUUAGAGGGACUUUGGUAUCCCAACCUUCCAAAGUUUAAAUUUUGAUGUUCGCAAGAGAUGUUUCCGUUGAUGAAAAGGUGUCUACAGUGAAUUUGUAAGUUUUAAGAUGAUAUGUCGGCUCGGUCUCUAGAAGGUACUCAUAAAGAUAAGAUGUGCAUGUGUGUUCAUAGGAGUGAGUGUAUACGCGUCUACGAGCGUUUGAGUAUGUACUGUCAUAAAAAAAAAGACAACAUCGUCAACACGGUGGCAUAGAUAUCACUGGAAUUCUUAUCAUGUAUAUUUCUCUUUAUGCAUAGCCGUAGUUUACAUGCACCUCACCCAAACGUAGUUGUAGUACUCUUAUGAUUGUAGUACUCAUACAAUGUUAACUCGAGUUGCAGGGAGAGAACACAUACACAAGCAGAACAAAAGUAAAAAGGGAAAUAAAAUGAACCUGGCACGAAACCAUGUUGUAUGAUAAAAGGGAGUUAGCUUGUUUAGGCCUUGCCAGACUCCUCGCAGCCUGGUGGCUUGAAGGCGAUGAAGCUGACGCACUGCACCUGACGCAUGUUGUCGAAUCCGAUGAUGCGGACAUAGGCGUCAGGGUACUCCUUCUUGACCUCCUCCACUUCGUUUAACACCUGUGUGGCGUCGGUGCACCCAAACAUAGGUAGCUUCCACAUUGUCCAGUAUCGGCCAUCGUAAUACCCUGGAGAGGCAUUGUGCUCACGGAAGAUGAAUCCAACCUUGCUGAACUCGAGACAAGGCACCCACUUGGAGCGGAUCAGGUAGUCGACCUGCUUCAGGAGUGCCUCCGUGGAGAGCGGUGGCAAGUAAGACAAAGUCUCGAACUUCUUGAUGCCUUCAAUCGGCCAGACCUGAAUUGUUCACAGAAUUUAGUUUGUCCUCCGUUAGUCAGCUCGAUGGAAUGGGCUGGGAAGUAAAAUCUUUUGUCUUCGGUCUAGUGACCAUACCUGCAUGCACCGGAUUCUUCCGCCGUUGCUGACGCUGCCGAGGCCAGCCGCGUUGCCGGAGAGGCGGCUGACUGGGAGACCAGCUGUGGACUUGAGUCCCUGGAAGGGUGCUACGGCGGUGGCUGCCGACGACAUGACAGUGGGAGCCAUCGUUGAUAGCUAAUAGGAGAGGCAGGCUUUACUUGAGACUGUGCGGUGGGUCGGCGACGAUGGCUUGUAUAAACCGUAGGCUCCCACCCAUUCCAUUAUCUGCACAAGAUCUGGGAGGAGUGGCUGCUGUUAGCCUCGGAGAUUAUCCCCGGCUACGGUGCCAUCCUGUAGAUCGGAUCAAGCGCCAUGUGGCAACGUGCCUUAUCCCGUGGACCUACGUUCUACCCUGUCCAUGCGUGGCUGAUCCUUUGCAAAUGAGAAUGUACUUUUUUUCGCGAUAUUCACCACACAUCUGAUAUAAUGGACAAUAACCAUAUGACCCUAUGUGGUAUACUUAGGAGACAUCCCACACGAUUGACACAAUCGGACGCAGCUACUUCAUGUCACACGUCUAACAAUUACUCCCUCCGCUCUUUAAUAUAAGUCUUUUUAGAGAUUUUUCUAGAAGACUACAUAUGAAUGUAUAUAGAUAUAUUUUAAAAUGUAUAUUUACUCAUUUUACUUUAUAAGUAGUCACUUAAUGAAAUCACUAAAAUACUUAUAUUUAGGAAAUGAGGGAAUACUCAUUCCCAUCCCUUUUGUAUGCCACGGAGCAAUUUCGCCUUGACAUUUCUUGGUGACAACUUUAGUUACUUGAGGAUGGUAACUUUAGUUGUAAAACAUCACAACUUCUCUGUUUUAAUUAAUUAUAGUUGUCAUGCUUAAUUAACGAUAGUUACCACGUGUGGCCAAAUUAUAAUUGUCAUGUAUGAUCAACCAUGGUUGUCAUGUGUGAUUAACUAGCUAUCACGUGUAGUUCAACCAUAAUUGUCAUGUAUGGUCAAUCAUAUUUGCAAUAUGUGAUUAGCCAGUUGCCACAUAUGCACAACUGUAGUUGUCAUCUAUCACAAUACGAGCAUCGUAUGGGUGAAGAGUAGUUCACCCGCACAACGUGGACUAGAUGGUGUCUGUGUAAGCGAGUACCGAUUCACCUGCACGACGAAGCUAUCAAUCACGCGUGCAAGGCCGUUUGGAAAAGCGCUCUAACCACUUACACACCACAAUAUGCCUACGUGUGAAAUUCUAAUAGACCCCUGCAAGAUUCGUGCAAUCGAGAACCAACGAUAAUAAAUGCGUAUGGACCAAGUAUUGAAAUACCACACGUAUGGAUAUUAUUAUUUGUUUUUUAUGUCAGUAAAUAAGGAUGCUCGUAUACAAGGCAUACACACACACCAAUGAGAAUUUCUAAAUAUAUUUUUAUCUAUAAUAUUAUUUUUUAGGGAUGUAAUGACUCCUUAUUCAAAUAAUUCAUAGCAAUCGUUACAUGAUCAUUUGCUUGAAAGAAACCAAACAUGUCUACCUAAGUUUAGAGAAAGUAAAAAAAUUUGGCUAAACUAUAUGCUUCAUUAUUCUUGUCUAACUUUCAUGUACUUUCAACAAAUUAUGUUGCUCUAGCCUUGACCUCGUUUAUAAUAGCAACAUAUCUUUCUCCUUCAAUCAUUUUGAGGUCCUUAUCACAGUGGCACAAUGAGAUGAAAUAAUAAAUUGUGAUGCUUGGAGAUCAUGUGUGAGCACCAUCACCUCGCGACAACAAGUGUUUUUUGAAUUGGUGCACUAGUGAUUCCCGGGAAAGUAAUGGAUUAAGAUCUCACUUAGUUACCAUGUUCGUAGCGACAAACUACCACUGUUGAAACUCGAUCGCUGUUUUUAGAGAACCAGAUGGGGGUCUAAUCCAAGGUUCCUAACAAAACUUGGACUCGCGCACCUACUCUAUUGUCUUUUUUUUGAAGAGAUGGUAUCUAGCUGUGAAAAGAACUUCGUAAUUAACAAGCGGGUUGAUCAAGGUGAUUGGAAUUCUUGUUCUUGCCUUUCAUCUCGUGGACCAUACUGCCCACAAGGUGAUUACUAUCUCCACAUAGUGCUCAUGUGAUAAUGAGUCUAGCAUAGCCAAGAGACACAUUUUUGCAUUUGGUAUCCUUGUUUCCAUCAAGUGUUGGAGCAUCUCCUCAAUGGCCCCAAGCACAUCUUGUAUAAUGCCCAAUAUGCGAUCCUAUCCUUGUUUUUUUUGGUACGAAGGCCUCGACGGGGGUAGAAUCUCAUCUCGUCGUUUUACAAGAAUGGAUAUCGUUACAAGUACAUGUACAGAAGGGACGAGUAUAUGGAAUUGGCUUACAAUCGCCACAAGCUACAUCAUGAGAAUCUCAAUACAACAAUACAUCCAAUCAUCAUGUAGAAGAGCAGGGCAUGUCUACGGAUGAAAACAAACGAUAAAAGAACGACGUCCAUCCUUUCUAUCCCAAGCUACUGGCCUGAAACCCAUCCUAUGAUCGAUGAAGAAGAAGAAGAAACUCGAAAUAGAACAAUCAUCGCGCUCACGUUGAAGUAUCGCUUUACCGGUACCUGCAACUAUUGUUUUAGUAAUCUGUGAGUCACAUGGACUCAGCAAUCUCAUCUUUAAAGGUAUCAAGACUAGCAAAGCUUAAUGGGUGAGGUAUGGUUAUGUGGUUAGGUUGCAACAAGGAAAUAAGCAUUUAUAUGAGUGGCUAACUUACGAGUAGAAGAAAUAAGAGAAGAGAUAAUCUACGCAUAACGAACGUGAACUAAUAAUGAUCUCAAAGUGAUUCUGAACACCUACUUACGUCAAACAUAAACCAACCGUGUUCUCUUUAAUAUGCAUAACUCACGAGAAGAGACAUUCACGGUUACGCACACAGUUGGCAAGUUUUAAGUUUACUUCAAGUUGUCUAGAACCAGAUGUUAAACAAAGUUUCCAAGUUGCCAGAUAACCACGGGCACGACUUUCCAAGGGAUAUAACCCUCGAGGGCUUCUCCAACUAGUCCAUCACAAACUACCACAAGCUGCGUCGGAAACCUAGACUACGGAAAAACCGUGAUCUCCUCGGGUUCCUGGUGGAAAAACUCAAGUUCGAGAUAGCCCAAAUUAUCCUCGGAAUCCCUUGUAGAAGACAUUCGAGAAAGGUCAAAGAAAUCCACCAAGGCCGCCCGACGAGUCUACGAUGCCGAUAGGAGCCGCGUAUCUCGUUCUCCGGACACGAUGGAUGAGCACUACGUACGGUGGCCGGAUAGACAUCCCCCGAGUUCGGCCCAGCUAGUGGCUCUAGUUUGGACCAACACUCAUGAGAAGCACUGGCCCGGGGGUUGAUUAAUUAUCCACAGGGUCGUGAAAGUCCCUAUGCAAUUUUAUUAGGUUAUUAGGCAAAAUGUAGUACCAAUGCUGGGCCUUGCCAGAUGAGUUUUAUCCCAAAAUGAAAAUCUAGGGGGUCUCCAUAAGAACCCCAAGCAUGUUAGGAGCGCUCAAUUAUGGAACAUAACACCGGUAGCCGAAACUAAGGCAGCAAAAGCGGAACAAAACACCCAACCAAAAGACUAAGCCUUCCGCCUUCUACCAAGUAUAUAGGUGCAUUAAAUUAAAUAACAAUAAUAUUAUGAUAUAACAAGGAACCCAUGUUUUUUUCAUGGAAGCAAUUGUACCUGCAACUAGCAAUGCUAUCAAAAGGCUGAGUAAGCCGUAACAUAGCCAACCAGUGGUUUGCUUGGUUGAGGAAUGGUUAGAGGGUUUUCAUGACAAAGUUUGGAGGAUGACAUUUAAGUGGUAGGCAGCGAGACAUAGCGAAAUAAACGAUAUAACUAGCAUGGAAAUUAUAGUAAUUGUAUCUAGGGAAGUGGUCAUCUUGCCUGUGAUCCCGCUUGGAAGAAGAACGAAUCCGUGAAGCAGGUGAAGCAAUGUAGCCGAACGAAUCCUCACAUUCCAAAGCUGUUUAGAACUCUAUCGAGGAAAAAACAAUCCGGAACAACAAUCAACACACGAUAACACCACACAUAUUCAUGACAAGAUGCACAAUAAAAUAUGAUGCAUGGCAAUUUCAAUUUAUGCAAGCAUGGAAAAGCACAACAAAUAAUACUACACAUUAAAUGAAGCUCAAUAUGCAACAAGUUGCAUAUUGAAAAACUCCAUACUUGAAUUAUUUAGUUCACUCUCAUUUAGGUACACGACAAUAUUAAAUGUUGUUAAACAUGGCAAGAGGUGAAGCAUAAAUAAACUACACUAUCUAGGCAUUUUAAAUGAGCUCAGAAACAACAUAUAGCAUCUCCGAAAUGACCCCAUGUGUUAAUUUUGAAAUCUGUCUAGAUCUGAACUAAGCAUGUUUUAAGUUUAUUAAACAGCAAAAUAAAGUGGACUACGUGACUCUACAUGUCAUUCUAGUCAAUUUACAUAUAUAGAUCAUUUGAAAUGGAGCUACGGUCUAAAAGAUAUGAUCAUCACACGAUAAUAUGAUAUUGAUGCAAAAUGCAUGCAAAUGACAUCCACAACAUGUUAAACGUGGAUGCGACAGUAUAUUAUGGAACUACCAAAAUUCUAAGCAAGUUUAAAUUAGGCCUGAAUAACGAACAACAAUUCCGGAAAGUCCAUAUAUGUAAUUUCUAAAUUUGCUACAGAUCUGUGUAAACACAAUUUUAGAUUUGUUAAACAGGAAAAUAAAUGUUACCAUGUUAUUCUACAACUUUUUCUAGCCAAGUUACAUAUGUGGAACAUUUUAAUUGGAGCUACGGUUAAUUAGUUAUGACAUAAACCAUUUCCACAUGGCAUUUUUGCAAAUUAAUUAAAACAACAAGUUAAACAUGUUAGACACAUGUGAGAGUUGCAUAUUGUAAACCUACACAGAAUUCUAAGCAUUUUUUAUGUAUGAAGUUUUUAAAUCCGACGCACGAUUAUUUAGCUAUGAAUUAAUUCAUUUUAAUAUGACAUCCACGCAAAUUUAAUUAAACAACAAGUUUAAAUGUUUUGAACAUGUGUGAAAGGGACAUAUUAUCAAUCUACACAAAAUUCUAUACAUUUUACAUAUUUAAAAUAUUUUUAUCCGAUGCACGGUUAAUUUGUUCUUAACAUUUUAAAGUGAGAACAUAAUCUCUAAUUAUAACAUACACCGAAUAGUUAGCAUUAUCAGAGACGCAAAAAAACAACAACAUGCCGAAUCUGGCUACGGGCCAAAACAACCAGUGGGCACAGGAUAACUGUGCGAGACAGUAGGCGGGUUAUAUAUAGGGAUUGGGCUAUGGUGGGUUGGACCUUGUCCGUCCGGUCGUAAUUCGAUGACCACGAACGGAGGGAGGGGUUAGGUCGGUCUAGUGGGCUGUGUAGAUGGGCUAGGUUCGGAUGAGAGGGAAGUGGUGCAUCCCAUGACAAAAUUUUAAAAGGCAAAAACGCCCGAUAUUUAAACUGACGCCGGUGGCACUAAGGUCGAGCGUUUGGGUAUCAAACAAACUCCGAUUGCGACGAAAUUUGGCAGGCGGUCUACCUACAUUAAAAUAGAACCGCACGCCAUGUUUCAAACCAAUCUGAGAGAGUUUUGCAUACGAUUUAAAAAAUAAUAUUUUUAAUAAUGUCACGGGCGCGUGUGCGUAUGAUUGGCCUCGAAACGGUCAAUGACAAAAACGGACAGAACUGACAACUAAUAACGGAUGCAAGUUUUGAAAAAUGACGGGAAUGGAGUGCCGAUGCAAUGCGGAUGAUGCGAAUGAUGCGAUGAUGAAUGCAGAAACCAAACAAAUCACAUGACAACAAUGCAGUAAAAGGGGAAUCUUCUAGAACGUUGGUUCCGGGCUGUUACAUCUUGCCGAGUAGCGUUCCACCAAAGCAUGACACCAAGAAUCUUCAGAAUCACACACACGGAAGCAAUAUGUACCUGCCAUAUUUCCUUGCUCCAAAACAUCAAAGGCUUGGUUUGAGUGUUGGGCCAAACGUUCCGCAAAAUCCUUGAGUUUCAACAGAAUAGUAGUGCCCCAUAACUUCGUCCAUUGCUUAACCACCGAAACCAUAUCUGAUGAGGCCAUACCAUGAUACAACCAUCCAUCCUAGUGCAUCUUAGUGUUAAAAAUCGUGGUGGCGAUGUUCCUCUCAAAUGCCAAGGACAAAAAAUAGACAUAUAUUUUGUGCAUAAAUGAAUACCCAGAAUAGCACAUUCAUCCAUCGGUAAAAAGGAGGCCCAAACCAAACCCUUGCGCCAAGUCGCCGAUGUCCUAUCUAUUAAUUCAGGUACCAAGAAAACCCCAUGUUGUGUGGUGGUGAUUUUCCUCACUGUACUUUCUCCUGGAAUCAAAUUAUGAUUCCAAAUUUCAGUUGUGGAUCAAUCUCCUAUGUGGCGAAUAAGGCGAUGGAUCAUAAAAGUUGGACCUUCAACUACUGAUCUCCAAAUAUUUGAUGGGUGAACCCUAGGGUUGCAAAUAAUAUAGAUAUAUAAAAAAAUAUCGAUUUAAGCAAUUUUGCACUCAGGGUGUGUGGGUCCAUAAGAAUUCUCCAUGUCUAGCAAGCCAAAAGAGCCAAGCUAAAUAACUCCAAAUCUCUAAAUCCCAAACGUCAGAAAAAAGGACUAGAACUUCCGCGCCGCCGCUGCAAGUCGUUGUUCUAAAGAGAUCCCAUUCGGAGCCCUUUUUUGGCUUCCUGUGGGAGGGGAAAUCUUUAGGGGAGACCAUAUUCAUGAUCCCGGCGAUCUCUAUGAUGAGGGGGGAGUAGUUCACCCUGAGGGUUGAGGGUAUGUACUAGUAGUUAUGUGUGUGAUCUCUCUAUCUCGUGUUCUUGAUUUGGCACGAUCUUGAAGUACCACGAGCUUUGUUAAUAUAGUUGGAUCAUAUACUGUUCUUCCCUCUCUAUCUUCUAAUGAAUUGACUCUCUCCCUAUGAGAUUUCGUUAUGUGGGAUUAAACACUUGGGAUUUGAGAACACUAGAUGUACUUGUUGUAUGCGGUACCCCUGGUGACAAUGGGGUAUUAUAUUGCAUCACUUGAUAUAUGUUUUGGUAAUCAACUUGUGGAUUCCCGUGGUGACAUUGGGGUAAUGUAGGCACAUGGGUUGAUACAUGUUUUCAUCCUAAUUUCUCCUAUAGAUACUUUGGGGUAAUCUUUGAGGUUCUUUGUGUGGAUUUAAUAUUAUGAAUCUAAAAUUGUUUGGUGUUAUUUAGUAGGAAUGCUAGGGUUUUUUGUGAUACAUUAGGUAUUUCUCAAUAGAGUGAUGGAAAAGACAACUAUUUAGCACAAACUCUAGGGCUGCUUGUGACACAUAUAGGGAUGGAUCAAUAGAUUGAUCGGAAAGAUAAAUUUGAGGUGGUUCACUACCUACAACAAUUUCUUCUUAUGUUCACCUCUAAUGACCAGGAUUUUGGAGUGAUUCUUUGUGCAUGUUGAGGGAUGGUUAUAUGACUUAAUUAUGCUAGACCUAUUGAGAAAUUGCACUGGUGAAAGUAUGGACCCUUGUUUCCAUGUAUUGAUUUAACAUGUUGCAAGUUGUUUGUCACUUGCUACCUUGUUGUUCUUAUAUUUUUCGAUUGCAAAAAACUAUUUCUACCAUCCAUACUACACUUUUAUCACCAUCUCUUCUCCAAACUAGUGGACCUAUACAAUUUACCAUUGUAUUGGUUGUGUUGGGGACACACGAGAUUUCUUGUAUUUGAUUGCAGGGUUAUUUGAGAGAUACCAUCUUAAUCCUACACCUCCCAUGGAUUGAUAAACCUUAGGUGAUUGAUACGUAUCCAACAUAUCUAUAAUUUUUGGUUGUUCCAUGCUAUUUUAUUGCCAUUCAUGGAUACUUUAUAAGCAUUUAUAUGUUACUUUAUAUCAUUUUUGAAAACUAACCUAUUAACCCAGUGCCUAGUUCCAGUUGUUGUUUUCCGCCUCUUCUGUAUUUUUAGGAAGCAGUACCAAACUAAGUCCAAAUGCAAUGAAAUUUUUGACGUUUUUCUGAACAAAAAUAAGAUAUGGGAGCUUCAGAGGGAGACCAAAUGCCACACGGAGUGGUGCCAAGCCAACAGAGCGCACCUAAGACGGGUAGGCCAGCCCUAAUGGCUAGGUACCACCCCCUCGCGCCUCCUGACCUAACUGCACCUCGAUAAAUUUUCUAAAAUAGGUAAAACACCAUAGAGACACCCAAAAUAUUUUUCCACCACCGCUCGUCUUUGUUCUGCCGCGAACCCAUCUAGAUCACUGUUCCGGUGUCGUGUCGAAGGGUGGAUCAAUCACAGAGGGCCUCUAGAUCAACUGUGAUGCUCCCAUGGUGAUAUGUGAGUAGUUUACGACAGACCUACGGGUCCAUAGCGUAAUUAUAUAUAUAUAUAUAUAUAUAGAUAGAUAGAUAGAGAGAGAGAGACACACACACACACAUAAACACUAUUCUCAUCCCAGGUUGAGAAUAACUAUUCUCAUCCAGACUGACUCGUCCGAGCAGUAGCACUUGAACUUCCCCGAGUGCUAGGUUGAACUUAUGCCAGAAGUGUGCAAAUGGGGCUUGCGAUAUACCAUUGCAAAUCUAUGGACACCCUAAGAAGAUCCUAAUAUGAUUUUUUGUGAAAAUGUUCAUGGUUUAAAAGUAGUUUUCAAAACUAUUUUUGUUCAUACCAAAAAACAUGAAUCGUAUUUUCAAGCCUAUUUCUAAAAGGUUUAUCAAAAUGAUGCAAAUAAGGUGGAGGUGGAGAGACUUUGCAAAUACGCUAAUUUCAUACGUUGAAAGUUCUCCCAAAUUCCCUACGGUUAAAGAGGAAUUAAAAAAAAUGGCUGAAUUUGUGAAACCGAACACCCGGGUUCGUAUUUCAGGGUUAAUUUGAAAACGGCUAGUCCGAUCGAUGCAAAUGAUAUGUUGUUCGAAAGCUUAUGAAAAUGUGCGUUGUUUCAUACAAAAUGUUUAUGCUAACUAUGAACGGUUUAAAAGUAAUUUACUAAAUGGCACAAGUUGUAUCGAGUUUGUAUUUUCGCGUCAAUUUUUCAAAGGUUUGUUGGAAUGGAACGAAUGAUAUGGCGUUGGAAAGCUUGAACAAAUGCUAAACUUUUAUAUGUCAAUUCUUUUUUAAUUCAUUACAGUUUUACGUGAGUUUUUAAAAUGGCUAAAGUGUGUUUUGGCUAUAGGUUUUACAAACUUUAUCGGAAUAAGGCAAAUAAUAUACCGUUGAAAUGCUACGGAAAUGUGAAACUUUUUCAUGUAUAUAGUUUUCUAUGAUUCCUAUCCAUUUUCAAGCAAUCUAGAGAAAAGUGAGAUCAUGCCUUCUGUAUUUAUCGCAAAAUAGAGCCUUCAAAAAUGCAUCGCGUGAAGAACUUGACCUUCUCGCCAUGUCCACUUGAACUUCACUUUGUUUUUUUUGGAAAUAUGCCCUAGAGGCAAUGAUAAAAUAGUUAUUAUUAUAUUUCCUAUUUCAAUAUAAUCGUUUAUUAUCCAUGCUAUAAUUGUAUUGAAUGAAAACAUAAAUGCAUGUGUGGAUAUAUAGACAAAACAAUGUCCCAAGUAAGCCUCUAUUUGACUAGCCUGUUGAUCAAGGAUGGUUAAGGUUUUCUGACCAUAUGCAAGUGUUCUCACUUGAUGACUCGAUCACAUCAUUAGGAGAAUGAUGUGAUGGACAAGACCCAAACUAUAAACGUAGCAUGUGAUCGUAUCAUUUUGUUGCUAUUGUUUUCUGUGUGUCAAGUAUUCAUUCCUAUGACCAUGAGAUCAUGUAACUCACUGACACCGGAGGAAUACCUUGUGUGUAUCAAACGUUGCAACGUUACUGGGUGACUAUAAAGGUGCUCUACACGUAUCUCCGAAGGUGUCCGUUGAGUUAGCAUGGAUCAAGACUGGGAUUUGUCACUCCGUGUGACGGAGAGGUAUCUCGGGGCCCACUCGGUAAUACAACAUCACAUAUAAGCCUUGCAAGAAAUGUGACUCAAGUGUUAGUCACAGGAUCUUGUAUUAAGAAAACGAGUAAAGAGACUUGCCGGUAACGAGAUUGAAAUAUGUAUAGGGAUACCGACGAUCAAAUCUCGGGCAAGUAACAUACCGAAGGACAAAGGGAAUGGUAUACGAGAUUAUAUGAAUCCUUGGCAUAGAGGUUCAAUCGAUAAGAUCUUCAUAGAAUAUGUAGGAUCCAACAUGGACAUCCAGGUCCGGCUGUUGGAUAUUGACCGGGGAGUGUCUGAGGUCAUGUUUGCAUAGUUCUCGAACCCACAGGGUCUGCACACUUAAGGUUCGGUGAUGUUUCAGUAUAGUUGAGUUAUAGGUGUUGGUGACUGAAGGUUGUUUGGAGUCCCGGAUGAGACCACAGACGUCACGAGGGUUUCCGGAAUGGUCCCGAAACGAAGAUUGAUAUAUAGGAUUGUUUCAUUUAGCCUUCGGAAAGAUUUCAGGCAUUAGCGGCACUGUACCGGGAGUGACGAAUGGCUUCCGGGUCUUUACCGGGAGGGCCCACCCACCCGGGAGAGAACCCAAUAACCCAAGGGUGGCGCACCAGCCCUUAGUGGGCUGGUCAGGCCAGCCCAAGUGGGAUAUGUAGGCUAGAAGGAAAAAAUCAAAGGAAAAAAAAGAGGGAGGUGGGAAGGAAGGAGGGGACUCGUCCUUCCCAAACCGAAUUGGAGUUGGAAUCUCCUUCUCCUCUCUCGUGUGGAGCCCUAGGGGCUCCCUUGAGCCCCAACUCUAGCCCCUCCCCUCCUUCUAUAUAUACUAGAGGUUUUAGGGGUUUUGAGACACAACUUUUGCCACGUGCAACCCUAAACCUCUACUUCGUAGUUCUUCCUCUAGAUCGGUUUUCUGCGGAGCUCGGGCGGAGCCCUGCAGGAAUAAAUCAUCACCAUCACCGGCGCGCCGUCACGCUUCUGGAUAACUCAUCUACUUCCCCGUCUCUCUUGCUGGAUCAAGAAGGCGGAGAUCGCCAUCGAGCUAUACGUGUGCUGAACGCGGAGGUGCCGUCCGUUCGGCGCUAGAUCAGAACGGAUCAUGGGACGACGGUGAUUUGAAUCACAAAGCCGUUCCACUACAUGAACUGCGUUUCUUAAUGCUUCCCGCUUAGCGACCUACAAGGGUAUGUGGAUCCGAUCUCCCACUCUUAGAUGAACAUCACCAUGAUAGGUCUUCGUGUGCGUAGGAAUUUUUUUGUUUCCCAUGCAACGUUCCCCAAUAGUGGCAUCGUGUUCUAGGUUCAUGCGUAGAUGUAAUAUCGAGUAGAACACUUAAGUUUUUGUGGGCAUUGAUGUUCGAUUUGCUGCCCUCCUUAGUCUUUUAUCAAUUCGGCGGUAUUGUUGGAUUGAAGCGUCCCGGACCAACAUUACUCGUACGCUUACGAGAGACCAGUUUCAUCGACUAACAUGCAACUCGUUCCAUAACGAUGACUGGCGGGUGCUGGUUCUUCAACUUUAGUUGAAUUGGAUUUGACCGAGGCGGUCCUUGGAGAGAGGGUAAAUAGCAAUUUGCACAUCUCCAUUGUAGUUUUGCGUAAGUAAGAUGCGAUCGUACUAGAUACACAUAGCAGCCACGUAAAACAUGCAACAACAAAUUAGAGGACGUCUAACUUGUUUUUGCAGGCUAUGCAUGUGAUGUGAUAUGGCCAAAGACAGGAUGUGAUAUAUUGGAUGUAUGAUAUGAUCAUGUUGUAAUAGUUAAAUAUCCACUUGCACUUAGAUGCUACGACAACCGGCAGGAGCCAUAAGGUUGUCUUUAAACUAUCUUCUGUGUUUGCAGAUGCGUUUACUAUAUUGCUAGGUUGUAGAUUUAGUAGUAAUAGCAUAGAUAGCACGACAACAUCGAUGGCAGCACGAUGAUGGAGAUCUUGAUGAUGGAGAUCAUGGUGUGGCACCGGUGACGAUGAAGAUCAUGCCGGUGCUUUGGUGAUGGAGAUCAAGAAGCACAAGAUCAUGGACAUAUCAUGUCACUUAUGAAUUGCAUGUGAUGUUAAUCCUUUUAUGCACCUUAUCUUGCUUAGAACGACGGUAUCAUUAUAAGGUGGUCCCUCACUAAAAUUUGAAGAUAAAAUUGUGUUCUCCCCGACUAUGCGCCAUUGCGACAGUUCAUCAUUUCAAGACACCAUGUGAUGAUCGGGUGUGAUAGAUUCAACGUUCACAUACAAUGGUUGCAAAACAGUUGCACACGCGGAACACUCGGGUUAAACUUGACGAGCCUAGAGUGUGCAGACAUGGCCCCAGAAUACAUGAGACCGAAAGGUCGAGCAUGAAUCAUAUAGUUGAUAUGAUUAACAUAGAGAUGUUUAGCACUGAAACUGCAGUCAACUCACGUGAUGAUCGGACUUGUGUUAGUGAAUUUGGAUCAUCCCACACUCAAAUAACUAGAGGGAUGUCUAUUUGAGUGGGAGUUUAUUAGUAAUUUGAUUAGCUAAACUCUAAUUGUCUUGAACAUAGUCUAAGUCCACUUUGCAAUAUUUUAUGUUGUAGAUCAAUGGCUCACGCAGUAGCAACCCUGAAUUUCAAUACGUUCCUAGAGAAAGCUAAGUUGAAAGAUGAUGGUAGCAACUUUGUAGACUGGGCUCAUAAUCUCAGGCUCAUCCUGCAAGCUGGGAAAAAGAAUUAUGUCCUUGAUGCUGUGCUAGGAGAUGAACCAUCCUCAACGUCUGAUCAAGAUGUUUUGAACGCUUGGCAAGCACGUAAGGAGGACUACUCAGUAGUUCAAUUGUAGUCUUGUAUGGCUUAGAACCAGGACUUCAACGAUCUUUGAACGUCAUGGAGCAUAUGAGAUGUUCCAGGAGUUGAAGUUUAUCUUUCAGAAGAACGCCCGAAUCGAGGGGUAUGAGACCUUCAAUAAAUUCUACGCUUGCAAGAUGGAGGAGAAUUCGUCUGUCAGUGAACAUGUGCUCAAAAUGUCUGGGGUACUCAUACCGUCUAGCUGAUAUGGGAUUGAAUUCCCGCAAGAGUCUAUCACUAACAGAAUUCUUCAAUCACUGCCACCUAGCUACAAGAGCUUUGUGUUGAACUAUAACAUGCAAGGGAUGAACAAGUCACCCAGUGACUUAUUCGCGAUGCUGAAAGUCGCAGAGUCAGAACUCCCGAAAGAACAUCAAGUGUUGAUGGUGAAUAAGACCACUGGUUUCAAGAAAAGCGGCAAAGGCAAGAAGGGUAACUCCAAGAAGAGUGGAAAAGCUGUUGCUCCUUCGACGAAGAAACCCAAGGCUGGACCUAAGUCGGAAACUGAGUGCUAUUAUUGCAAGGGGAUGGGUCACUGGAAGCGCAACUGCCCCAAGUAUUUGGCUGAUAAGAAGGCGGCCAACGCCAAACCAGGUAUAUGUGAUAUACAUGUUAUUGUUGUGUACCUAACCAACUCUCGUAGUAGUGCCUCGGUAUUUGAUACUGGUUCUGUUGCUCAUAUUUGCAACUCGAAGCAGGAACCGCGGAAUAAACGAAGGCUGGAGAAGGAUGAAGUGACGAUGCGCGUGGGAAAUGGUUCCAAGGUUGAUGCAAUCGCCAUCGACACAGUCUCACUUCAGUUACCAUCAGGAUUAGUUAUCAACUUAAAUAAUUGUUAUUUAGUGCGUGCGUUAAGCAUGAACAUUAUAUCUGGAUCUUGUUUAUUACGAGACGGUUACUCAUUUAAGUCAGAGAAUAAUGGUUGUUCUAUUUAUAUGAGUAAUAUAUUUUAUGGUCAUGCACCCAAUGUGAGGGGUUUGUUCAUAUUGAAUCUUGAUUGUGAUGAUACACAUAUACAUAACAUUGAGACCAAAAGAUGUAGAGUUAACAAUGAUAGUGCCACCUUUUUGUGGCACUGUCGCUUAGGUCAUAUUGGUAUAAAGCGCAUGAAGAAACUCCAUGUUGAUGGGCUUUUGGAGUCACUUGAUUUCGAAUCACUUGACACGUGUGAACCAUGCCUCAUGGGAAAGAUGACUAAGACUCUAUUCUUCGGAACAAUGGAGCGUGCAAGUGACUUGUUGGAGAUCAUACAUACUGAUGUGUGUGGUCCAAUGGGGGUGGAGGCGCACGGCGGAUAUCGUUAUUUUCUCACUUUCACUGAUGAUUUGAGUAGGUAUGGAUAUAUCUACUUGAUGAAGCACAACUCUGAAACAUUUGAAAAGUUCAAGAAAUUUGAGAGUGAAGUUGAAAAUCAUCGUAACAAGAAGAUCAAGUUCCUACGAUCUGAUCGAGGGGGCGAAUAUCUGAGUUUCGAGUUUGGUGCUCACUUAACACAAUCUUGAAUCGUUUCACAGGUUAAACCGCCUGGAACACCACAGCGUAAUGGUGUGUCCGAACGUUGUAAUCGUACUUUGUUAGAUAUGGUGUGAUCUAUGAUAUCUCUUACCGAUUUGCCAUUAUCGUUUUGGGGUUAUGCAUUAGAGACAGCUGCAUUCACUUCAAAUAGGGCACCAUCAAAAUCCGUUGAGACGACACCAUAUGAGCUAUGGCAUGGCAAGAGGCCAAAGUUAUCGCUUCUUAAAGUUUGGGGAUGCGAUGCUUAUUUCAAAAAGCUUCAACCCGAAAAGCUGGAACCUGAUAAACGUAUCUAUAAUUUUUGAUGGUUUCACGCUGUUAUCUUGCCUUCUUUGUAUGUUUUAUGUACCUUUUUAUAUCUUUUUGGGACUAACUUAUUAAUUCAGUGCCAAGUGCCAGUUCCUGUUUUUCCCGUGUUUUUGACUCUUUUCAGAUCUGAUUUUGGAACGGAGUCCAAACGGAAGAAAAACCCCGAAAUGAUAUUUUCCCGAACGGGAGAAGUCCAGGGGGCUUUUGGGCCAAGCCAGGUGGGCUCCAAGGAGCUCACAAGCCCCCACUCCGCCACCAGGGGAGGCGGCGGUGGGCAGGCUUGUGGCCUCCCUGGCUGCCCCCUGACCUAGGUCUUUGGCCUAUAAAUUCCCAAAUAUUCCGCAAAAAAUCACGGGAGCCUCGAAAAUACUUUUCCACCGCUGCAAGCUUCCGUUUCCGCGAGAUCUCAUCUGGAGACCCUUCCCGGCACCCUGUCGGAGGGGACUUUGGAGUUGGAGGGCUUAUUCAUCAUCAUCAUCACCCCUCCAAUGACUCGUGAGUAGUUCACUUCACACCUACGGGUCCGUAGUUAGUAGCUAGAUGUCUUCUUCUCUCUCUUGGAUCUUCUAUACAAAGUUCUCCAUGAUCUUCAUGGAGAUCUAUCCGAUGUAAUCUUCUUUGGCGGAGUGUUUGUCGAGAUCCGAUGAAUUGUGGACUUGUGAUCAGAUUAUCUAUGAUAUAUAUUUGAGUCUUUGCUGAUUUCUUAUAUGCAUGAUUUGAUAUCCUUGUAAGUCUCUCCGAGUCUUGGGUUUUGUUUGGCCAACUAGAUCUAUGAUUCUUGCAAUGGGAGAAGUGCUUGGUUUUGGGUUCUGCCAUGUGGUGACCUUUCCCAGUGACAGUAGGGGCAACAAGGCACACAUCAAGCAGUUGCCAUCAAGGGUAAAAAGAUGGGGUUUUUAUCAUUGGUUUGAGAUUAUCCCUCUACAUCAUGUCAUCUUGCUUAAGGCAUUACUCUGUUCUUAUGGACUUAAUACACUAGAUGCAUGCUGGAUAGCGGUCGACGUGUGGAGUAAUAGUAGUAGAUGCAGAAAGUAUCGGUCUACAUGUUUCAGACGUGAUGCCUAUAGAAAUAAUCAUUGCAUAGAUAUCGUCAUGACUCUACACAGUUCUAUCAAUUGCUCGACAGUUAUUUGUUCACCCACCGUCUACUUGCUUUCAUGAGAGAAGCCACUAGUAAACACUACGGCCCCCGGGUCUAUUCACAUCCAUCGUUUACAUCUCCGCUUUUACCUUGCUUUGAUACUUUGUUGCUUUCAGUUCUCACUUGGCAAACAAUCUAUAAGGGAUUGACAAACCCUCCAUAGCGCUGGGUGCAAGCUUUUGUGUUUGUGCAGGAUCUUGAGAUACUCUUCCGCCGGAUUGAUACCUUGGUUCUCAAACUAAGGGAAAUACUUACCAUCGCUAUGCUACAUCACCCUUUCCGCUUCGAGGGAACACCAACGCAAGGCUCCAAGGCCACGGGGGAAAUCCUUUGCAUACUUGCCUAGGAAGUCCCUUAAGGCAUAGCCGUAGCUGAAGGAUUCCUGGUGCCGUCGACACAACUAUUUCUGGCGCCGUUGCAAGGGAUACACAGCAAAUAUCAGAAGUAUUUCUGGCGCCGUUGCCGGGGAGGAGAAAUCAAGAUCUAUCCAAGUAGGUCUCACAAACUCUUCUCUUGCAUUUACUUUUGUUGCCAGUUGCCUCUCGUUUUCCUCUCCCCCACUUCACAUUUGCCUUUCUCCUUUGACUUUUUUGUUUGCUAUUUUUGUUCGCCCUUUUCUCUCGCUUGCUUUAUGUUCACUUGUGUGUCAUGUGCCUUCAAAAUGCUUGCAUCUUCGCUUGCUGAAAAUCUAUUGAUAUGGAUCCUCAUCCACUAGCUAGUCUCUUUAAGAGACCCACUAUUGUGGAACGAAUUGCUAGUGAGUUGAGGGCAAUUGACUUUUUCUAUGGAGUUUUGCUUAAGAUGCGUGAAUCUGAAAAUUGCGAGGAAGAAAUUCAUGAAGUGAUUCACGAGGGCUCAUUGGAUGAAAAGCAUGAUUGCAAUGGUUUCACUACAAAUUCUAUUAGUGACAAUCAUGCUAAAAUUAUGCAAAACCCUAAGCUUGAGGAUGCUAGUCUUGCUAUGACCACUACUUGUAGCAAAGAUCAUGAUUGGGGUGAGGAUUUUUCUUCUGAUCUUGAAAAUUUGUUCAAGCCUCAAGAUGAAUAUGAUAUUUGCAAUAUUAUUGAAAGUGGGUUUGGAGAAGUCAUGACUUUAGAUGAUAAUCCCACUAUUUUUGAAGAGCGUCAACUUUGCAUGCAUGUGGAUCAUGAAAAGAAUAUCCUAUGGGAUAGCUAUAUUGUUGAAUUUGAAUAUGAUCCCACAUGUAAUUGCUAUGAGGGAGGAAAAUAUUUUGGUAGAAACUUUCAUGUUACCAAAUCACCUCUCGUGAUGUUGAGAUUGCUCUUGUCUCUUUCUUCUUCCUUGCAUAUGGCAGCUAUUGGUUGUCUUGACAAUUUGUUUUGCUAUAAAAUGCCUAUGCAUAGGAAGUAUGUUAGACUUAUAUGUGAUUUUCACAUGCUUUAUGAUGCUCUCGUUGUGCUUCAAUUCUUGUCUUUUGUGAGAGCAUCAUUGAAUGCCUAGCUAAGGGCGUUAAACAAAAACGCUUGUUGGGAGGCAAUUCAACGAAUCUAUCCUUUUUCUUUCUGUUUUGUGUUUUUCACACUUUCAUAAUUCUGUUAUGAUUGUGUUUUUGUGUUUCUUUUUGCGUUUGUGCCAAGCAAAACCGUUAUGAUUAGUCUUGAGGAUGAUCGUUUGGUCAUGUUGGAAAAGACAAAAACUUUCUGCUCACGAAAAGAAUUUUCAUUUUUUUUCUGUAAGUGUUUUUGAGUUUAUUCUUUUUGCUGCUGAUUUCUACGCUAAUUCUUCAGACUGUCGUAAGUUUUCAGAAGUUUUGAUGUACCAUAGGUAUACGAAACAUACAGAUUUAUAUAGACUGGUCUGCUGUUAACAGAUUCUGUUUUUGUUGUGUUGGUUGCUUAUUUUGAUGAAACUAUGGAUAGUAUCAGGGGGUAUUAGCCAUGGAAGAUUGAAAGUACAGUAACCCAACAUCAGCACAAGUAGAAUUUAAGUUUGCUACAGUACCUAAGGAAGUGGUGGUUUGCUUUCUUGUACUAAUGUUAUCACGAGUUUCUGUUUAAGUUUUGUGUUGUGAAGUUUUCAAGUUUUGGGUGAAGUUCUUAUGGACAAAAAGAUAAAGAGUGGCAAGAGCUCAAGCUUGGGGAUGCCCAAGGCACCUCAAGAGACUCAAGUAUGCCGUAAAAGCCUAAGCUUGGGGAUGCCCCGGGAAGGCAUCCCCUCGCUCGUCUUCAAUCCAUCGGUAACGUUACUUGGGGCUAUAUUUUUAUUCACCGCAUGUUAUGUGUUUUUUCUUGGAGCGUCUUGUAUCGUAGGAGUCUUUUAUUUUUGUUGUGUCACAAUCAUCCUUGCUGCACACCUAGAUAGAGAUACAUGCACACACCGUGAUUUUGUCGAGCUUCACUUAUAUCUUUUGGUAGACAAUUCAGCUCACAUGUGCUUCACUUAUAUCUUUUGAGCUAGAUACUUUUUCUCUAUGUGCUUCACUUAUAUAUUUUAGAGCACAGCGGUGCGUGGCUUGGUAGUUGAUCUAUGCUUUGAAAGUAGUCUCAAAAGGGGUAGUUAUCCAAAGGGAUACGAAAACUUCCACCCUCAUGUGCAUUGAAUAGUUAGAGAAGUUUGAUUCAUCUCAAUUAGUUUUGAGUUGUGGUUAUGGUAAUAUUGAAGUCAUGCUUGUAAGGUAUUGUGGAUCUAGGAAUACUUGUGUUGAAGUUAGUGAUUCCCGUAGCAUGCACGUAUGGUGAACCGCUAUGUGAUGAAGUCUGAGCAUGAUUAGUAUAUUGGUUUUCAUCCUUUGCCUGGCGGUCGGGAUCACGCGAUGGUUUAUACCUACCAACCAUUCCCCUAGGAGUAUGCGUUGAAUGCUUUGUUUCGAUUACUAAUAAAACUUUUGCAACAAGUAUAUGAGUUCUUCAUGACUAAUGUUGAGUCCAUGGUUUAGAUGCACUUUCACCUUCCACCAUCAUUAUCUUCUUAGUGCCAUGCAACUUCCGUCGGUGCACAAAACCCACCAUUAGCCUCCCUCAAAACAGCCACCAUACCUACCUACUAUGGCUAUUUCAAAGUCAUUCCGAGAUAUAUUGCCAUGAAACUACCACCAUGAUAUGUGCCACCACGUCUACAUUGCCAUUACAUGAUCGUAAGAUAGAUAGCAUGCUGUUUCCAUUGAUGUCUAUGCCAUGCUAGAUCAUUGCCAUGGUACACUACCGAAGGCAUUCCAUAUAGAGUCAUAGUUGCUCUAAGUUUUGAGUUGAAAGUGUGAUUCAUUAUUGGAGCAUUGUCCCAUGUGAGGAAAUAAAAGAGGCCAAAGAAGCCCAUAAAAAAAAGAGGCCAAAGAGCCCGCCAAAAUAAAAAAAAUGAGAGAAAAAGAGAGAAGGGACAAUGCUACCACUUUUUCCACACUUGUGCAUAUUGAGCACCAUAAUCUUCAUGAUUGAGAGUCUCUCGUUUUGUCACCACCAUAUAGCUAGUGGGAAAUUCUCAUUAUAUAACUUGGCUUGUAUAUUCCAAUGAUAGGCUUCCUCAAAAUUGCCUUAGGUCUUCGUGAGCAAGCAAGUUGGAUGCACACCCACUAGUUUUCUUUAAGAGCUUUCACAUACUUGUAGCUCUAGUGCAUCAUUUGUAUGGCAAUCCCUACUCAUUCACAUUGGUAUCUAUUGAUGAGCAUCUCCACAGCUCAUUUAUAUGCCUAGUUAAUGUGACUAUCUUCUCCUUUUUGUCUUGCAACCUCCACCACAUUUCACCCAUCUAUAGUGCUAUAACCAUGUCUCACGCUCAUGUAUUGCGUGAGAGUUGAAAAUGUUUGAGAAAGUAAAGGUGUGAAACAAUUACUUGGCCAAUACCGGGGAUGUGCAUGAUUUAAAUUCGUUGUGCAAUGAUGAUAGAGCAUAGACAGACUAUAUGCUUUUGUAGGGAUAAGUUUCUUUUGGCCUUGUUAUUUUGAAAGUUCAUGAUUACUUUGCUAGUUUGCUUGAAUUAUUAUUGUUUCCACGUCAAUAGCAAACUAUUGUUUUGAAUCUAAUGGAUCUGAACAUUCACGUCACAUAAGAGGAAUUACAAAGGACACCUAUGCUAGGUAGCAUGAAAGCAUCAAAAAUUCAUUCUUAUCACUUCCCUACUCGAGGACGAGCAUGAGUUAAGCUUGGGGAUGCUUGAUACGUCUCAAACGUAUCUGUAAUUUUUGAUGGUUUCACGCUGUUAUCUUGCCUUCUUUGUAUGUUUUAUGUACCUUUUUAUAUCUUUUUGGGACUAACUUAUUAAUUAAGUGCCAAGUGCCAGUUCCUGUUUUUUCCGUGUUUUUGACUCUUUUCAGAUCUGAUUUUGGAACGGAAUCCAAACGGAAGAAAAACCCCGAAAUGAUUUUUUCCCGAACGGAAGAAGUCCAGGGGGCUUUUGGGCCAAGCCAGGUGGGCUCCAGGGAGCCCACAAGACCCCACUCCGCCACCAGGGGGACACGGCGGUGGGCAGGCUUGUGGCCUCCCUGGCCGCCCCCUGACCUAGGUCUUUGGCCUAUAAAUUCCCAAAUAUUCCGCAAAAAAUCAGGGGAGCCUCGAAAAUACUUUUCUGCCGCCGCAAGCUUCCGUUUCCGCGAGAUCUCAUCUGGAGACCCUUCCCGGCACCCUACCGGAGGGGACUUUGGAGUUGGAGGGCUUCUUCAUCAUCAUCGUCGCCCCUCCAAUGACUCGUGAGUAGUUCACUUCAGACCUACGGGUCCGUAGUUAGUAGCUAGAUGGCUUCUUCUCUCUCUUGGAUCUUCAAUACAAAGUUCUUCAUGAUCUUCAUGGAUAUCUAUUCGAUGUAAUAUUUUUUGGCGGUGUGUUUGUCGAGAUCCGAUGAAUUGUGGACUUGUGAUCAGAUUAUCUAUGAUAUAUAUUUGAGUCUUUGCUGAUUUCUUAUAUGCAUGAUUUGAUAUCCUUGUAACUCUCUCCGAGUCUUGUGUUUUGUUUGGCCAACUAGAUCUAUGAUUCUUGCAAUGGGAGAAGUGCUUGGUUUUGGGUUCUGCCAUGUGGUGACCUUUCCCAGUGACAGUAGGGGCAGCAAGGGACACAUCAAGCAGUUGCCAUCAAGGGUAAAAAGAUGGGGUUUUUAUCAUUGGUUUGAGAUUAUCCCUCUACAUCAUGUCAUCUUGCUUAAGGCGUUACUCUGUUCUUAUGGACUUAAUACACUAGAUGCAUGUGUGGAUAGCGGUCGACGUGUGGAGUAAUAGUAGUAGAUGCAGAAAGUAUCGGUCUACUUGUUUCGUACGUGAUGCCUAUAGAAAUAAUCAUUGCAUAGAUAUCGUCAGGACUCUACACAGUUCUAUCAAUUGCUCGACAGUAAUUUGUUCACCCACGUCUACUUGCUUUCAUGAGAGAAGCCACUAGUAAACACUACGGCCCCCGGGUCUAUUCACAUCCAUCGUUUACAUCUCCGCUUUUACCUUGCUUUGUGACUUUGUUUCUUUCAGUUCUCACUUGGCAAACAAUCUAUAAGGGAUUGACAACCCCUUCAUAGCGUUGGGUGCAAGCUUUUGUGUUUGUGCAGGAUCUUGAGAUACUCUUCCGCCGGAUUGAUACCUUGGUUCUCAAACUGAGGGAAAUACUUACCGUCGCUGUGCUACAUCACCAUUUCCGCUUAGAGGGAACACCACCGCAAGGCUCAAAGGCCACGGGGGAAAUCCUUUGCAUACUUGCCUAGGAAGUCCCUUAAGGCGUAGCCGUAGCUGAAGGAUUCCUGGUGCCGUCUACACAACUAUUUCUGGCGCCUUUGCAAGGGAUACACAGCAAACAUCAGAACCCAAAGCGGAAAAGUGCGUCUUCAUAGGUUACCCAAAAGAGACAGUUGGGUACACAUUCUAUCUCAGAUCCGAGGGCAAAGUGUUUGUUGCUAAGAACGUAGCUUUUCUUGAGAAGGAGUUUCUCUCGAAAGAAUUGAGUGGGAGGAAGAUCGAACUUGAUGAGGUUGUGGAACCUCUGCUCCCUGUAGAUGGUGGCAUAUGGCAGAGAGAAAUUUGUGUUGAGGCAACACCGGUUGAGGAGGAAGCUAAUGAUGGUGAUCAUAAAGCUUCGGAUCAAGUUACUGUCAGACCUCGCAGGUCAACAAGAUCAUGUACUGCUCCCGAGUGGUACUAGAAUCCUGUCUUAUCUAUCAUGUUGUUAGAAAACAAUGAGCCCGCGAAUUAUGAAGAAGCAAUGGUGGACCUGGAUUCCGACAAAUGGUUAGAGGCCAUGAAGUCCGAGAUAGGAUCUAUGUAUGAAAACAAAGUAUGGACUUUCGAAGUAUUACAUGAAGGUCGCAAGGCUAUUCAGAACAAAUGGAUCUUUAAGAAGAAGACGGAUGCGGACGGUAAUGUGACCGUUUAUAAAGCUCGACUUGUGGCAAUGGGUUUUUCACAAGUUCAAGGAGUUGACUACGAUGAGACAUUCUCACCGGUAGCGAUGCUUAAGUCCGUCCAAAUCAUGUUAGCAAUACUUGCAUAUUUCGAUUAUGAAAUCUAGCAGAUGGAUGUGAAAACGGUGUUCCUUAAUGGUUUUCUUAAGGAAGAGUUGUAUAUGAUGCAACCCGAAGGUUUUGUCGAUCCGAAGAAUGCUAACAAAGUAUGCAAGCUCCAGCGAUCCAUUUAUGGACUGCUGCAAAUCUCAGAGUUGGAAUAAGCGCUUCGAUGAGGUGAUCAAGGCAUUUGGGUUUAUACGAGUUGUUGGAGAAUCUUGGAUUUCCAAGAAAGUGAGUGGGAGAUCUGUAGGAUUUCUAAUAUUAUACGUGGAUGACAUAUUGCUGAUUGGAAACAAUGUGGAGUUUUUAGAGAGCGUAAAGGAUUACUUGAACAAAUGUUUUUCAAUGAAAGACCUAGGAGAAGCUGCUUACAUAUUGGGCAUUAAGAUCUAUAGGGAUAGAUCGAGGCGCCUAAUAAGACUUUCACAAAGCACAUACCUUAAUAAAGUUAAAAAUGGAGCAGUCCAAGAAGGGUUCUUGCCAGUGUUACAAGAUAUAAAGUUGAGUAAGACUCAGUGUCCAGUAAGUGCGGAAGAUAGAGAAAAGAUGAGUACCGUCCCCUAUGCUUCAACCAUUGGGUCUAUCAUGUAUGCAAUGUUGUGCACGAGACUGGACGUCAGCCUGGCCACAAAUAUGGCAGGCAGGUUUCAAAGUGAUCCAGGAGUGGAAUACUGGGCGGCGGUCAAGAAUAUUCUGAAGUACCUGAAAGGACUAAUGAAUGUUUCUCGUUUAUGGAAGUGAUGAAGAGCUCGUCGUAAAGGGUUACGUCGAUGCAAGCUUUGACACUGAUCCGGAUGACUCUAAUUCUCAAACGAGAUACGUAUUUAUUCUCAAUGGGGUGCGGUAAGCUGGUGCAGUUCCAAGUAAAGCGUCAUAGCAGAUUCUACAUGUGAAGCGGAGUACAUGGCUGCAUUGAAGGAAGCUAAGGAAGGUGUCUGGAUGAAGCAGUUCAUGACGGAUCUUGGAGUUGUGCCGAGCACACUAAAUCCAAUAACUCUGUUCUGUGACAACACUGGUGCCAUUGCUCUAGCAAAGCAACCAAGGUUUCACAAGAAGACCAGACACAUCAAACGACGCUUCAACCUCAUCUGCGACUAUGUCGAAGGAGAGGACGUAAAUAUUUGCAAAGUGCACACGGAUCUGAAUGUUGCAGAUCCGCUGACUAAACAUCUUCCACGAGCGAAGCAUGAUCAACACCAGAACAGUAUGGGUCUUAGAUUCAUUCCAAUGUAAAUCGCAUAGCGAUGUGAGACUAGAUUACUUACUCUAGUGCAAGUGGGAGACUAUUGGAAAUAUUCCCUAGAGGCAAUGAUAAAAUAGUUAUUAUUACAUUUCCUGUUUCAAGAUAAUCGUUUAUUAUCCAUGCUAUAGUUGUAUUGAAUGAACACAUAAAUGCACGUGUGGAUAUAUAGAGAAAACAAUGUCCCUAGUAAGCCUCUAGUUGACUAGCCAGUUGAUCAUGGAUGGUUAAGGUUUUCUGACCAUAUGCAAGUGUUGUCACUUGAUGAAUGGAUCACAUCAUUAGGAGAAUGAUGUGAUGGACAAGACCCAAACUAUAAACGUAGCAUGUGAUUGUGUUACUUUGUUGCUAUUGUCUUCUGCGUGUCAAGUAUUCAUUCCUAUGACCAUGAGAUCUUGUAACUCACUGCCACCAGAGGAAUACCUUGUGUGUAUCAAACGUCGCAACGUUACUGGGUGACUAUAAAGGUGCUCUAUAGGUAUCUCUGAAGGUGUCCAUUGAGUUAGCAUGGAUCACCACUAGGAUUUGUCACUCCGUGUGACGGAGAAGUAUCUCGGGGCCCACUCGGUAAUACAACAUCACAUAUAAGCCUUGCAAGCAAUUUGACUCAAGUGUUAGUCACUGUAUCUUGUAUUACGGAAGGAGUAAAGAGACUUGCCGCUAACGAGAUUGAAAUAGGUAUAGGGAUACCGACGAUCAAAUCUCGGGCAAGUAACAUACCAGAGGACAAAGGGAAUGGUAUACAAGAUUAUAUGAAUCCUUAGCACAGAGGUUCAACCGAUAAGAUAUUUGUAGAAUAUGUAGGAUCCAACAUGGACAUCCAGGUCCCGCUGUUGGAUAUUGACCGGGGAGUGUCUCAGGUCAUGUCUGCAUAGUUCUCGAACUCGCAGGAUCUGCACACUUAAGGUUCGAUGACGUUUCGGUAUAGUUGAGUUAUAGGUGUUGGUGGACAAAGUUUGUUCGUAGUCCCAUAUGAGAUCAAGGAUGUCACAAAGGGUUUCCAGAAUGGUCUGAAAAUGAAGAUUGAUAUAUAGGAUUGUUUCAUUUGGCCUCCAGAAAGAUUUCUGGUAUUACCGGCAGUGUACCGGGAGUGACGAAUGGGUUCUGGGUCUUUACCGGGAGGGACCCACCUACCCGGGAGAGAACCCAAUAGCCUAAGGGUUGCUCACCAGCCCUUAGUGGGCUGGUGAGGCCAGCCCAAGUGGGUUAUGUCGGCUAGAAGGAAAAAAUCAAAGGAAAAAAAGAGGGAGGUGGGAAGGAAGGAGGGGAUUCAUCCCCUUCCAAAUCGAAUUGGAGUUGGAAUCUCCUCCUCCUUUCUCGGCCGACGCCCUAGGGGCUCUCUUGAGCCCCAAGGCUAGCCCCUCCCCUCCUCCUAUAUAUACUAGAGAUUUUAGGGUUUUUGAGACACAACUUUUGCCACGUGCAACCCUAAACCUCUACUUCGUAGUUCUUCCUCUAGAACGGGUUUCUGUGGAGCUCGGGCAGAGCCCAGCAGGAAUAGAUCAUCACCAUCACCGGCGCGUCGUCACGCUGCCAGAGAACUCAUCUACAUCCCCAUCUCUCUUGCUGGAUCAAGAAGGCUGAGAUCAAAAUCGAGUUGUACGUGUGCUGAACGCGGAGGUGUCGUCCGUUCGGCUCUAGUUCGGAACGGAUCGUGGGACGACAGUGAUUUGAAUCAUGAAGCUGUUCCACUACAUCAACCACGUUUCUUAAUGCUUCCCGCUGAGCGAUCUACAAGGGUAUGUGGAUCCGAUCUCCCUCUCAUAGAUGAACAUCACCAUGAUAGGUCUUCGUGUGCGUAGGAAAUUUUUUGUUUCCCAUGCAACGUUCCCCAACAUGUUUUUCACGUGCUGUUUUUUGCAAGUAACUCUCCAUCAAGUCACUGUAAUUGAGAAGUGAUAUACAGAUGUAAAGCUAUUGUAAACACACAACUUUUUUGUGUUGAUGCUGUUGUUUCAUACUCGCGACGGUUUAAAAUAUAUUCAUAUGACAUUCAUGCAGUGUAUUAGUUGACCUUCCCCGAGUGCUAGGUUGAACUUCCACUAAUAUUGUCCAAAUGGGGCUUGCAAUAUAUAGUUGGAAAGCUAUGGGCACCAUGAUAACAACCUAGGUUGAAUUUUUGUCAAAAUGUUCAUGGUUUAAGAGCUGUUUUGAAAACCGUUUUUGUUCAUACAAAAAAGGUGAAUCGUGUUAUCAAGGCUAUUUCUAAACCGUUCGUGGGAAUGAGACUAAUGAGAUUGCUAUAAAUCCUCUCAUUUCAUAUGUUUAAAGUUUUCCCAAUUUUCCUACGGUUAAAGAGGAAUUUCAAAAAUGGCGGAAUUUCUGAAACCGAAAAGUUGGGUACAUAUUUCGGGGUUAAUUUGAAAAUGGCUAGUACGAUAGACACAAAUGAUAUGUCGUUAGAAACUUAUGAAAAUGUGCAUAUUUUAUUAUAAAUAGUUUCUUCUACUAUUAACGGUUUAAAAGUAAUUUAGAAAACGGCACAAGUUGUACCGAGUUCGUAUUUUAGCGUUAACUUCACAAUGGUUUGUCGGAACGGAGCAAAUGAUCUCACGUUGGAAAGAUAAUGAAAUACGACACUUUUAUAUGUAGAUUUUUUUCCAAUUACUUAUGGUUUUUAGUCAGUUUUAAAAAUGGGUAAAAAUGUUUUUUGGCCGCAGGUUUUACAAACUUUAUCAAAAUGGGUCAAAUAAUAUACCGCUGAAAAGCUACAGUAAAUGAAAAAAAAUGAUGUAGAUAGUUUUCUCUCAUUCCUAGCCGUUUUUAAGGCAUCUUGAAAACAAUGAGAUCAUGCGUUCUUCCUGUAUUGUGAAAAAGAUUCUUGGAAAAUGCACCGCGUGAAGAACGUGAUCUUCUCGGCUUGUCUCCAUGAACUUCACUUUGUUUUUUCACGUGUUGUUUUUUAUAGUACACUCCAUCCACUCACCGGAAUUGAGAAAAUGAUAUACCGAUGGAAAACUGCUGUAAAUACGCAACUUUUCCAUGUUGGGGAUUUGUUCAUACCCGGGGUAGUUUAAAAUAUUUUCAUGUGAAAUUCAUGCAGUGUAGUAGUUUAACUUUCCGCUGUUUUCACAUCGAACUUCUAUCGCGUAUUUUCGUUUGUAAUUUCUCACCCAUUUGUCGGUGUUACACAAAUGAUAUUCCUUUUGUACAUACCUGUCUCACAAUAAUUGUUUUUCACUUUCUCCAACCGAGGACUUGAAUUUAUAGCAACAAAAAAUGUGGACCUUGGCUUUUUAUUCAUUUUUGUCACACCAAACACACACCAUGUAGUACGUGAACUUUCUCCAUUUUUUUAAUUUCAAUUUUUGAAUUUUUUUAAAUCGAAUUACUCCCAAAUAAUAGCUAAAAUUAUUUGUGGGUUCAGAGAAUUAUUAUAAAUAGAAAAAAUAAUUUCUUUUUCUGUUUUUGAACAUGGAAAUACAAGGUGAACCUAUCUUGCAAGCAUUUUUGAACUCACACGGGCCGAGCACGUGAACUUCUUUCAACAAACCUUUUAAGCUUUUAUAUUCCUAUUCGCUUAUUCUCAUAUGAAACACAUUCCUUGUAGUACUUAGACUUCUCACUGUUUUCACUAUGAACUUUUGUCAUGUUUUUUGUUUGUAAUUCCUCAACCGCUCCUUGGAGUUACACAAAUGAUGUACCAUUAGAAAAUCCAUUGAAAAGAAACAACUUUUUCUAAUACGGUUAACUUUUCUUUUUGAACAACAUACAACAAUUUUUCAUGGAUUGAGAGACUUACUGAAAAACACCAAAAGAACACUUCUUUGAACUUCAACCAAAACUCAAUUAUAUUUUAAACAUCACAACGAAUAGUAGCUAUUUGAAAAAAUUUCAAAUUAGUUACAUGUGUAUUUUUUUGGAUCAUUGUAGUUUCAAAAAAACAUAGGCACAUAAGGGAGAGAGAAUUAUGUAUGCAUAAAGUGGAUAGCAAUUUUGAAAUUUCCCUUGCCAAGAACUUGAACUUCUAGCAGCAAAAGUUUACAUUUUGUGAGUUGGUUUUAAAAAUUCCAAAAAUGGCGAUGGGUUUUGUUUUUGUUUUUUGAACAAGCAAAUCCUAGGUUCUAAUAAACACUAAAUUUUGUGUCAUUUUAAUUAGAACUUCAUAUUGGUUUUAUUUUCUAAUAGCGGUUAGAAUUCGAGAUUUUAAUAAACAUUGAACCGCUCCAUUAUAUGAAAUUGAACUUCUAGGUCUUUUUAGAAAUGGAUAAAUAGAUUUACUAAUUAAACUUUUUAAACUAUUUUUGUUAUUUAAUUUGGUCUUCCGUUGUGUGUAUUUUGAUGGUGCGUACCUUUUUUGUUAGAACAUGUUCGUAUAAACGUAGUCUAUUAAAAUUCUUUCACUUAUAGGCUAGUUCUAAUACAUGAUAUUUCUACACAAUGAUCUAUGAACUUCUCUUAACAUAAAUUUCAUUGAGCAUUUUUCUAACCACGAAACAUACAUGAAGGAGGUUGAGGUUGUGCAUGCGAGAUGCAUCACCAUGUAGGAAAGUUUCGGGAGCUCUUUUAACAAUGCAGGGUCAAAAGUAGUCUCACAUCCAUCAAACUUCAUAACCACGAGUUUUGAACUUGCAAAAAUGUUAAAAUGAAGACUUAUUUUUCCUAGUAAAUGUAGUCCUAAAUAGACAGGAUAAGAGUCAGCAAGCACAACAGUACUGGUGCAUUACAUAUUCCCAGCGAUACGAGUUGUUGUUUGGUCCUAUCUCUUCUUCAACAACUUAAAAAAAAAUAAGUACUAUCAAUCACAUCACCCAGACUCACAAACAGGGCACACCAUAUGAUUUUUAGGAUACCUAGUAUGAGUGAUAAUGGAAAAAAAUAAUAAGCUUCGUAGUAUACUGAUCAAAAUGUUGAAGUACACACAAGAGACCUUCAGCUUCAGAUAACAAUAUGUUGUCUCAGAAAUUAUCUAAUCAAUCAUGUAGAAGCUAAGAAAUUAAAACAAAGAGAAAAAAAUCUCCCUAAAUGUACUAAAAACAUCUCUGAACCUUUCUUCAUAAUCACUCUCAACUUCAAUCCUCCUCAAACCACGUGAUUUUCUGCUACAAAAUAGGACGAGUUGUUCCUUGUGGUGCUACCACAUAACUAACCUGUGAUCGAGCUUGUGUUCAUGAAUAUCUCCACCGCUGAGAUUGAAAGUUGAACGACCUAAUGCUAUGUUAUGUUAGUUCUAUACAAUCCAAGAGCCAUCCAUUGCAGAGCAUCAAAGUUAAAGGGGCCUAUAGAGCUACAAAAUUGAACAAUUUGGACACGCGGUGGCAAAUGGACUAGACAAACAACAGUAUAUAACAUUUUGUGCACUUUUGCAGAAGACUUCUUGGCAUAAAAGCUUGAAUUCACAGGAAAUGUUUCCAUACAAUUUUUUUUUCUGAUUUUGCACACAACGCGUUUGUGAGUGCAUGCGAGAGAAGCAUAAAAAAACAACUUGAUGUCCCUUUAGAGUCAACUUCUUCAACAAGUCACUUUGAAUUUCACAUAAACAAAUUGAAAAAAAUAAAACUACAGUACCACAACCAUUCUCAUCUAUUUAAGUUAUAUUUCCAUUCACUUAGAAUAUAGUGCUACCUCGACUUUAGAUUCAAAUUUCAACAAUUAAGGAAUACUUGAAGAAAACAGUCUAGUAUUUUGUUGGCAUUUCAACACAUACGUGGAUGGCAUAAAGGUUGAGGUGCAAGUGAACAACUUGAACUUCUCCAACGCUAAUGCCAGUUGCAAUAACUUGCAUUACACACACCGUAUGUAUCAGAUUAUUGUGAUUUAGGGGCACAAAAAAGAAAUUUCAUGAACAGGAGAUGAAACUGUAACCGUAGAUCAAUCACCGUUAAUUACUGAUAUGUCUUCAUCGUAUUUACUUUUUCUAAUGCCUUUUCUUUUGUUUUGGACCCUAAUUUGCAUGAUUUGAAUAAAAGUAACCCAGACUAACGCUGUUUUCAGUAGAACUCCCAUGACGUUGUUUUUGUGGAGAAAUAAAAGUUCUCGGAAUUAGACGAAACUUUCUGGAGCAUUUUUGUGGAAUAAAAGAAAAAUACUGGAACCAAGACCUACUAAGAGGGGGGCCCAGACACCCACUAGUCACCAGGAUGCGCCACCCCCUACCGCAGAUUGGUGGGUGGUGGGGCCCUUGGGGCUCCACUGACCCUAACUCUAGCACUAUAAAAUCCUAUAUUUGGAGAAAAAAUAGGAUAGGAAGGUUCAUCAUGUUUCAUGAUAUGGAGCCGCCGCCACCUCAUCUUCUUCAUCGUUGGGCCAAAUCUGGAGUUCUUUUGCGGCUCAAAAGAGGGGAAUCUUUGGUCUUUGUCAUCAUCAACCCUCCUUCAUCGCCAAUUCCAUGAUGCUCUCCACCAGAGUGAGUAAUUCCUUCGUCGGCUUGCUGGUCGGUGAGAAGCUGGAUGAGAUUCAUCAUGUAAUCGAGUUAGUUUCAUUAGGGCUUGAUCCCUGGUAUCCACUAUGUUGGGAGACAGAUGUUGCUAUGACUUUGCCAUGCUUAAUGCUUGUCACUAGGGCCUGAGUGCCAUGAUUUCAGAUCUGAACUAUUUAUGUUUUCACCAUUAUAUCUAUGUUCUUGAUCCGAUCUUGGAACUUAUAUGCAACUACUAUGUGUUAGGAUCCGCAUACCCCAAAGUGACAAUAAUUGGGAUACUUUUCGAUAAUUACCGUAGUAUGAGGAGUUCAUGUAUUCACUAUAUGUUAAUGCUCUGUUCCAGUUCUCUAUUAAAAGUAGGCCUUAAUAUCCCUUAGUUUCCUUAUGGACCCCGCCACCACGGUAGGGUAGGACAAAAGAUGUCAUGGAAGUUCUUCUCGAUAAGCACGUAUGACUAUUUACGGAAUACAUGCCUAAAGUAUAUCGAUGAACGGGAACUAGUUCUGUAUCGCCAUAUGUUACGACUAAUUCAUGAUGAAUAUCAUCCAACAAUAUCACUGAUCGAGUGCCUACGAGUUUUCCACAUAUUGUGCUUGCUAAGUUACUACUGUUGCUACUGUUGUUACAACUGCUACAAAAUUGUUAUCGCUAUUACCAUUAUUGUUGCUACUCUUACCACUUAUAUCAAAACUAUCAUAUUACUGUGCUACUGAUCACUGUGCUGCAGAUACUAAAUCUCCAAGUGUGGUUGAAUUGACAACUCAACUUCUAAUACCUGCAAAUAUUAUUUGGCUCCCCUUGUGUCGAAUCUAUAAAUUUGGGUUGAAUACUCUACCCUCGAAAACUAUUGCGAUCCCAUAUACUUGUGGGUUAUCAAGAAUGUUUUCUGGCACCGUCGCCAAGGAGCAUAGCUAUAAUUGUUGAGUGACUUUGGAUAUCUAUUUAUUGAUCACUAUGAAGAAUCUAAAAGAUACGAGAACCAAGAUCAUUCCCUCUAAGAUGACGGGUGGUAAGGAACUGCCAUCUAGCUUAGCACUUGAUUCACCUUGUGUUUUGAAUAAUCUUGCAACACCACCAUCACAUGCUAUUAAUCCUAAUAUGUUGCAAGUUAUUGUUGAUGUUACCUAUGCUAUGAAUGAUACUAAUGAUGAUGCUAGUACCUUGCUCGAUGAUACUGCACCAUUAGGUGAAUUUCUUGAUGAACAACUUGCUAGAGCUAAAGAAAUUUAACAUGCUAAAACUGAUGAAGUCUCUGAAACUGAAAAUAUUGAAACACCUUUGUGACAUGACUAUCCUAGAAUUAAAAUGCCUGAAGUACAUGAAGGUUAUGUUAUGGAUGAAUAAAUAGCUAGAGACUUUUUUGCUUGUGAGGAUAGAUAAUAUCUUAAGAAACUACUCUGCAAGUAGAAAGAAAAACCCUUGAAUGCUAGAAUGAAAUAUAAUCCUAAGUUUUCUAAUUCACCUAUCUUUGUUACCGAUAAGGAUUAUGAAUUCUCUAUCGACCGAGAGAUAAUUACUUUGGUUAAAUCUGAUCCUUUUCGUGGCUAUGAAAAUUAAACUCUUGUGGCACAUCCCACUAAGUUAAAUGAUAUAACCACCCUAUUUACUCAUGAUGAGAAAAAUCGGUACUACUAUAUUCUAAAAUUAUUUUCGUUCUCAUUGAAGGGUGAUGCUAAGAUUUGGUACAAUACUCUUACUCCUGGUUGUGUGUGUAGUCCCCAGGAUAUGAUUCACUACUUCUCUAAAAAGUAUGUUCCUACUCAUAAGAAACAAGUUGCCUUACAAGAAAUAUUUAACUUUGUGAAUAUUGAAGAAGAGAGUCUCCAACAAGCUUGGGGAGGCUUUUCCAAUUAAUUAAUGCUUUGCGUGAUUAUCCUCUUAAUAAGAAUGAAAUACUUGAUAUAUUUUAUAAUGGACUAACCGAUGCUUUUAGGGACCACUUAGAUAGUUGUGAUGUUUGUGUUAUCAGGGAACAAACUAUCGAACAAGCUGAGGAGUUAUUGACUAAUAUAUUCAAGAAUUGGGACGAAUGGACACUUCCUGAGCCACCACCUAAAUCUACUCCACAGAAGAGGGGUAUCUUAUUCCUUAGUCUUGAAACUAUGCAUGAGGCAAAGAAAUGUAUGAUGGAAAAAAUGCAUUAAAGCUGAAGAUGUUAAGAAUUUACCACCCGUCAAAGAAAUACAUGGUCUCAACACACCACCAUAGGUGGUGGAGGUAAAUUCUCUUUUAAAGUUUGCUGAAGGUGACAUCCCUUACAAUAAACAUCCUAGUCAAUGCUUAUAUGAGUUUGAUAAUUAUAUUAGGAAGCAAGAUCAUUUGAAAAUCCUAUGUUAUGAAACAACUGAGACAAAACUUGGAUAUGAUUGCUCGCUUAAGUGACUUGCUAUUUAGAAUAACCAAUGAUGUAGGAGGUGUAGGAAAACAUGCUCCUAUGGUUCAACUCAACUAGAACAAGUUACUGUUGGAGAACGUUGCCUGGGAAACAAAAAAUUUCCUACGCACACGAAGACCUAUCAUGGUGAUGUCCAUCUACGAGAGGAGAUUUGGAUCUAUGUACCCUUGUAGAUCACACAGCAGGAAGAGUUAAGAAACUCGGUUGAUGUAGUGGAACGUCCUCACGUCCCUCGAUCUGCCCCGCAAACCGUCCCGCGAUCCGUCCCACGAUCCGCUCUGAUCUAGUGCCAAACGGACAACACCUACACAUUCAACACACGUACAGCUCGAUGAUGAUCUCGUCCUUAUUGAUCCAGCAAGCAAGAUGGAGAAGUAGAUGACUUCUCCAGCAGUGUGACAGUGCUCCGGUGGUGGUGAAGGAUCUACUCAUGCAGGGCUCCGCCCGAGGUCCGCAGAAAUACGAUCUAGAGGUAAAACUAUGAUGUCUAGAUCUGAGUUGCACGUGGCAAAAUUUGUCUCAAAUCAUCCCUACAUCACCACUACAUAUAGGAGGGAGGGGGAGGAGGCUUGCCUUGAGGGCCAAGCCCUCAAGUGUGCGCCGGCUAGGGAGGAGGAGGAGUCCUACUCCAAUCCUAGUCCAACUAGGAUUGGAAAGUGGAGUCCUUCUCUGCCUUCCCACCUUUCUUUUUUUCUUUCUCUUUGGUUUUUCUUUCCUUGGCGCUAGGCCCUCUUGGGCUAUUCCACCAGCCCACUAAGGGCUGGUGCGCCACCCCUAGGGCCUUUGGAAUUCCCCCGGGUGGGUUGCCCCCCUCCCCGUGAACAUCCAGAACCCAUUCGUCACUCCCGGUACAAUCCCGGUAAUGCGCGAAAACCUUCGUCUUCGGACCAUUCCAGAAACCCUCGUGACGUCUGUGAUCUCAUCCGGCACUCCAAACAACAUUCGAUAACCACACAUAUAACUCAACCAUACUAAAACAUCGUCGAACCUUAAGUGUGCAGACCCUGCCGGUUCGAGAACUAUGUAGACAUGCCCUGAGGCACUCCUCGGUCAAUAUCCAAUAGCGGGACCUAGAUGCCCAUAUUGUAUCCUACAUAUUCUCCGAAGAUCUUAUCGGUUGAACCUCAGUGUCAAGGAUUCAUAUAAUCCUGUAUGUCAUUCCCUUUGUCCUUCAGUAUGUUACUUGCCCGAGAUUCGAUCGUCGGUAUCCGCAUACCUAUUUCAAUCUCGUUACCGGCAAGUCUGUUUACUUGUUCCAUAAUACAAGAUCCCGUGACUUACACUUAGUCACAUUGCUUGCAAGGCUUGUGUGUGAUGUUGCAUUACCGAGUGGGCCCCGAGAUACCUCUCCGUCACACGGAGUGACAAAUCCCAGUCUUGAUCAAUACUAACUCAACGGACACCUUCGGAGAUACCUGUAGAACACCUUUCUAGUCACCCAGUUACGUUGUGACGUUUGAUGCACACAAGGUAUUCCUCCGGUGCCAGUGAGUUAUAUGAUCUCAUGGUCAUAGGAACAAAUACUUGACACGCAGAAAACUAUAGCAAUAAAACGACACGAUCAAUAUGCUACGUUCAUAGUUUGGGUCUAGUCCAUCACAUGAUUCUCGUGAUGAUGUGAUCCAGUUAUCAAGCAACAACAGUUUGCACAUAGUCAGAAAACCUUGACUAUCCUUGAUAAACUAGCUAGCCAACUAGAGGCUUGCUAGGGACAUUGUUUUGUCUAUGUAUCCACACAUGUAUCUAUGUUUUCAUUCAAUACAAUUAUAGCAUGGAUAAUAAAUGAUUAUCUUUAAACAGUAAAUAUAAUAAUUAUUAUUUAUCAUGGCCUCUAGGGCAUAUUUUCAACAGUUACUAAGUCUCAAAGUGAGCUACUUCAUGAAAUGAAUAAUAAUAUGAAUGAUCAUAAUGUUAGAAUAAUAACUAGAGCAGGAACAAUGACUUCAGAUCCACUAUAUCAAGAAGGUCAUUCUAAAAGACCUGAACAAGAUUCACAAAGAAUUAAUAUUGAUGCACCUAGUCCUUCUGGGAAGAAAAAGAAAAAGAAAAAUUAUACAUACUUCUAAUGAACUUAAAUUAGAUAAACCUUCUCAUAAUGCUAAUUUUACCUCUAUCUCUGAUGCUCAAACUCAAUCUCGUAGUGAACAUUCACCUAGUGAUAGNNNNNNNNNNNNNNNNNNNNNNNNNNNNNNNNNNNNNNNNNNNNNNNNNNNNNNNNNNNNNNNNNNNNNNNNNNNNNNNNNNNNNNNNNNNNNNNNNNNNNNNNNNNNNNNNNNNNNNNNNNNNNNNNNNNNNNNNNNNNNNNNNNNNNNNNNNNNNNNNNNNNNNNNNNNNNNNNNNNNNNNNNNNNNNNNNNNNNNNNNNNNNNNNNNNNNNNNNNNNNNNNNNNNNNNNNNNNNNNNNNNNNNNNNNNNNNNNNNNNNNNNNNNNNNNNNNNNNNNNNNNNNNNNNNNNNNNNNNNNNNNNNNNNNNNNNNNNNNNNNNNNNNNNNNNNNNNNNNNNNNNNNNNNNNNNNCUAUCACUAGGUGAAUGCUCACUUCGAGAUUGAGUUUCAGCAUCACAGAUAGAGAUAUCAUUAGCAUUAAGAGAAGGUUUCUCUAAUUUAGGUUCAUUAGAAGUAUGUAUCAUUUUUCUUUUUCUUUUUCUUCCUAGAAGGACUACGUGCAUCAAUUUUAAUUCUUCGUGAAUCUUGUUGAGUUCUUUUAGGAUGACCUUUUGGAUAUAGUGGAUUUUGAGUCAUUGUUCCUCCUCUAGUCAUUACCCUAACAACAUGAUCAUCCAUAUUAUUAUUCAUUUCGUGAAGUAGCUCACUUUUAGACUUAGCAACUUGUUCUAGUUGACAUUGAACCAUAUAAGCAUGUUUUCCUACACCUCUUACAUCAUUGGUGAUACUAAAUAAGAAGUCACUUAAGCAAGCAAUCAUACCAGAGUUUUGUUUCAAUUGUUUCAUAAUAUAGGAGUUGAAAUGAUAUUGAUUUCUAAUAUAAUUAUUAAACUUAUGUAAGCAUUGACUAGGAUGUUUACUGUAAGGGUUAUCACCUUCAUUAGACUUUAAAAUAGAAUUUACCUCCACCACCUGUGGUGGUGUGCUGAGACCAUGUAUUUCUUUGAUAGGUGGUAAAUUCUUAACAUCUUUAGCUUUAGUGCAUUUUUCCUUCAUACAUUUCUUUGCCUCUUGCAUAGUUUCAGGACUAAGUAAUAAUAUACCCCUCUUCUUUGGAUUAGCUUUAGGCGGUGGUUCACGAAGUGUCCAUUCAUCAUGAUUCUUCAAUAUAUUAGUCAUUAACUCCUCAGUUUGUUUGACAGUUGGUUCCCUGAAAACACAACCAGCACAACUAUCUUGGUGGUCUCUAGAAGCUUUAGUUAAUCCAUUAUAAAAUAUAUCAAGUAUUUUAUUCUUCUUAAGAGGAUGAUCAGAUAAAGUAUUAAGUAACAAGAGAAGCCUCUCCCAAGCUUGUGGGAGAAUCUCUUCUUUAACUUGUACAAAGAUAAAUAUUUCCUGUAAGGCAACCUGUUUCUUAUGAGCAGGAAAAUAGUUUUCAAAGAAGUAGUAAAUCAUAUCCUGAAGUAAUUGGAGAAGCCUCCCUCAAGCUUGUGGGAGACUCUCUUCUUUAAUUUUACAAAGUUAAAUAUUUCGUGUAAGGUAGCUUGUUUCUUAUGAGUAGGAAAAUACUUUCAGAGAAGUAGUAAAUCAUAUCAUUGGGACUAGGCACAGAACCAGGAGAAAUAGUAUUGUACCAAAUCAUAGCAUCACCCUUUAAUGAGAAUGGAAAUAAUUUGAGAAUAUAGUAGUAGAAAAUUUUCUGAUCAUGAGUAAAUCGGGUGGCUAUGUCAUUUAACUUAGUGAGAAUCUUCAGGCAUUUUAAUUCUAGGAUAGUCAUGUCUAAAAGGUGUUUCAAUAUUUUCAGUUUUGAACACUUCAUCAGUUUCAGCAUGCUCAAUUUAUUUAGCUCUAGCAAGUUGUUCAUCAAGAAAUUCACCUAAUGGCACAGUAUCAUCAUUAUCAUCAUUCAUAUCAUAGGUAACAUCAUCAAUAACUUACGACAUAUCAGGAUUAAUAGCAUGUGGUGGUGGUGUUGCAAGUCUAUUCAAUACAGGGUGAAUCAAGUACAGAGCUAGAUGGCAGUUCCUUACGUCCCCUCGUCUUAGAGAGAACGAUCUUGGUUCUUCUAUCUUUCACAUUCUUCAUAGUGAUCAAUAAAUGGAUAUCCCAAAUGACUCAACAAAUAGAAGAACCAACAAUAGUAGCAACAAUAAUAACUUAGCAAGCAUAAUAUGUGGAAAACUCGUAGGCACUAGAUCAGUGAUAUUUCUCGAUGAUAUUCAUCAUUUAUCGGUCAUAACAUAGAGCGACACAUAACUAGCUCCCGUUCAUCGAUAUACUUUAGGCAUGUAAUCCGUAAAUAGUCACACGUGCUUAUGGACAAGAACAUGCAUGACAUCUUUUGUCCUACCCACCCGUGGUGGUGGGGUCCAUAAGGAAACUAAGGGAUAUUAAGGCCUUCUUUUGAUAGAGAACCGGAACAAAGCAUUAACACAUAGUGAAUACAUGAACUCCUCAUACUACGGUAAUCAUUAGAAAGAAUCCCAAUUAUUGUCACUUUGGGGGUAUGUAGAUCCUAACACGUAGUAGGUGCAUAUGACUUGCAAGAUCUGAUCAAGAACAUACAUAUAAUGGUUAAAACAUAAAUGGUUCAGAUUUGAAAUCAUGGCACCCGGGCCCUAGUAACAAGCAUUAAGCAUGGUAAAUUCAUAACAACAUCAAUCUCCGAACAUAGUGGAUACUAGGGAUCAAACCCUAACAAAACUAACUCGAUUACAUGACGAAUCUCAUUUAGCUCCUCACCGACUAGCAAGGCUACGAAGGAAUUACACAAUCCCCUUGCACAACAUCAUGGAAUUGGCGAUUAAGGAGAUUUGAUCAUGUCGAAGACCGAAGAUUCCCCACUUCGGAGCACCAAAUAGACUCCAGAUUUGGCCUCUCGAGGAAGAAGAGGAGGUGGCAGCGACUACGUAUCGUGAAUCGCAAUGAAACUUCCUCUCCUAUUUUUUCUCCAAAAAUAGGAUUUUAUUUUGGGGGAGAUAGGGCUAGCGGAGCCCUGAUGGCCUCACUACUCACCAUGCCGCACGAGGAGGGGGUGGCCCGCCCAGGUGCCUAGUGGGUGCUUGGGGCCUGUGCUCCAAUGGGUCUUGGUUCUAGUAUUUUUCUUUUAUUCCAUAAAAAACCUCUAGAAAGUUUUGUCCAAUUUCGGGAUUUUUUUUUAUUUCUGCACAAAAACAACACCAUGGUAGUUCUAGUGAAAACAGCGUCAGUUCGGGUGAGUUUCAUUCAAAUCAUGCAAAUUAUAGUCCAAAACAAGAGAAAAAUCAUUAGGAAAAGUAGAUAUGGUAAGAGAGCCAUCAGUUCAAAAACCCAUGCCUUAUCCACCCAAACCAACUAACAAAAAAGAUGAUGAGGAAUUUGAACGCUUUGUUGAAAUUAUUAGGCGGGUCUUUUUGCAUACGCGUUUAACUUUUCUUUCAAAGAUGUCCCAUUGUGCUAAGUAUAUGAAAGACAUCAUCACUAAGAAAAGAAAAAUACCUGAAGCUGAAAUCUCCACCAUACUUGCUAAUUACUCUUUAAAGGAUGAAGUACCUAAAAAACUAGGAGAUACAUGAAUACCAACUAUACCAUGUUCCAUCAAAAGAAACUACGUGAAAACUCCUUUAUGUGAUCUUGGAGAUGGUGUUAGUGUUAUGCCUUUUGCUUUAUAUAGAAUACUUGACUUGACAAACUCACACCUACUAAAAUUCCUUUGAAAUGGAUGACAAAUCUACUACCAUACCUAUCGGUAUUUGUGAGGAUGUAACCGUUGUUGUUGCCAAUGUUACUACCUUGACAGACUUGGUUAUACUUAAUAUGCCCAAGGAUGACAGCAUGUCGAUUAUCCUUGGUAGACCUUUCUUAAAUACUACAUGAGGUGUUAUUGAUUGCAACAAAAGAAAAGUCACUUUUCAUGUCAAUGUUAAAGAACAUACGGUGCAUUUUCCGAGGAAAUAAUUCCAAUUGAAUUGUGUUAAUGUUAUUGGAAAAUAUCUGACUAUCACGAAUGGAUGUUUUCAAAUACCUCAGCCCGCUGCCAAGAAUAAAUAUGGGAUACUUAUUGUUGGGGAUAUGCACAUCCCCGUUGAGGUAACUUAGUGUUUUACGAAAAUUCUUCGGGUUCAAGUUAAUUCGAAGUGGUUGUUAAUAAGGUAUGAUCAACCUUGUUAUGGAUCAUUUUCAAGAGGUAUGACGUUGAGGAAUUCAAUAGGCACAACUCUCUAUACCCACUUUAUUCUUCCUAUUAUUUUUAGUUGAAUACACUAAAUGUCAUGUUUAUCUUGUUUUCUGAAAUCUCUGUGCAACAAAAAAGUUCCCAAAAAUAAAAGUUCUUCAAAUGACCUGGAAUUUUCACACGAUGUUUUUUGAAUAUUUGAGAAUAUUUGGCACUUAACACAUCACAAUGGAUGUCCCAGGUGUCCACUGGGCACCAGGGCACACCACCCCCACAUGGCGUUCCUUUGCGGGUAGUAGGCCCCUCGUGGGCUGUCUCACUUAUCCCUUCAGCCCAUCUCAUCACUUACAUCGUGUGUUCUUUCUCUCAAACCCAUGUGUUUGAGCAUAUUUCUCCAUAUGUGGUUUUGGUAAUUGAUGACAAUCCUUAUGGACUAAGGGUUGCCUUAAGUUGUAUUUGAAGGAUUUGUCCAUAGGCACUUCAUGAAGUCCAUCUGUUGGUUUAAAGGAGUUUAUAUGAUGAGCAAGGUGGUAUUAAAGGUAUUAUCCAAAGAAUGGUCAUAAAUACACAAGGUUGAUCAAGACUAAGACAAAGAGUAAAUCAAGUUGAUCAACACACAAAGAGUACAAGAUGUACCGAGACGUAUCAAGUGACCCCACGGUGUGAUAAGCAUUGUCGAUUAUGCUUUUGUGUACUAACCCGUGGUCUUCACGAGAGUUCUAUGUGGGGUUAGGUGUGUUUCCAUGGGCUUGCGUCAGUAGGAAGUUCUCAUUCAACCCAUGAAGGAUGACAUCAAGUGAUGAUCGUCAUGAAGAUUGCGGUGUGCAAGUUCAAGAGGAGCAUCACGAAGAUAUCAUGCUUGAAAUUUGCUGUCCAUUGUGGUGGCAAUGUACUUGUGAAGAUGCACUGAAGAGUGGCUCACCCAUAGUGACUAUGGGGGAGCAAUCAACUUGUCUUCAUCAAGCCAAUGCAAUCAAUAAAGGUGGUCCAUCUUGGGGAAGUCAUGAUCAUCAUCAUCUAGCUCAAGCGGACUAUGUGCAAGGUAUUGGUUUGCCCUUGAUAGGUUUUUCUAUUUUAGGAUAGAUUGUCGUACUCUAAAGGGGGGCUCUCAAGUGAGUAGCUUGAUUGUAUCAUUCGUUGAGAGCUCAAACCAUUUGCAUCCUUGCAUCAUAUUUCUUAGUUGUUGUUUGGCGUUUCUCUUUGUGAGUUUUAGAGCUUAUGGUCAUCUUUAUGAGAAGCUCGAGUUCAUCGAAAACGGAGUUCAUGUCCAUUUUCUAUGGAGCUUUCGAUAUUGGAGUUUUUGUCGGUUCUUCAUUAUUUGAGGUUUCACAUCUCUAUAUCAUGGGGAUUUUCAUUACUGCAUAUUCAUAGAGUUUUCGAUAUAGCUGUUUGGAUAGUACUUGUUGUGUGCUAUCCGACAAGCUUGAGUUUCCUCAAUUUGGAGCUCGUAUGCGAAAGUAAUGGCAGUUCUGGCCAGGCUUUCUCUCUCAAGCAGAAGUACCGCUGGGGCUGAGCGGUAGUACCACUCCUGCGGUACUGCCUCCCUCCCCUGCCGACCUAUCUUCUCCUUACAAUUUCUCUCUAGCUUCAUCGUUGCGUUUUUCCACUUUGAGCGGAAGUACCGUUUGGGUGGAGCGAUAGUACCGCCCAGCGAUACUGCCGCCCUCCCCUUCCGUCCCUACUUUUGCUUGUUUUUCUCUCAAUCUUCUGAUGAGCCGUUGCCCUUUUUAAACGAAACUACCACUUGGAUUGGAGCGGUAGUACUUCUCUAGUGGUAGUACCGCUCAGCCCAACGGUAGUACUGCUUGUGCACGACCUGUGCACAUAACGGUUAGAUUUGGGGAGGCCCAGAAAAUGGGGUCUUCUUUCCCAAUGGUUUUCUAUCCGUUGAGCUCGUGUUCUUCCCCCAUUGUUGACCUUCUUAGAGCUUGCUAACUCUCAAUCCCUCCAAUGAUUCUUGCUAGUUCUUGAGGGAAAAGAGAGAGGAGAUCUAGAUCCACAUUUCCACCAAUCACUUUCUCCUCUAUGUGAGGGGAACCCCUUGGAUCUUGAUCUUGGAGUUCUUUGUGAGCUCCUUGUUCUUCCUCUCGUAUUCCUCCAUAGAUUUUGUUGUUCUGGAGGGAUUUAAGUGUCAGGGACUUGACCACUUCCUGUGUUCUUGCCAUCGCAUUAGUUGCAUCAGUUUGAGUUCUCCAUGAAAAUACGUGGAAGUGAAAAAGUUUGAUAAGCUUAUUACCCUUGGGUGCUUAGUACCCUAGAGAUUUUUCUUCGUGGAUUAUUUGGCGUCCUAGAAGAUUGGUUUUGCCUCGAAGCUAAAUCGUUGUGAUGUAAAGCUCCGGGCAAGUGACGAGUUCUCCAAUUAGGUUGUGGAGAUUGCCCCGAGCAUUUGAGGUCAUCUCGGAGCCACAGUCCAUUGUGGUGAAGCUUCGUGGUGUUGUUGGGAGCCUCUAAUUAAGUUAUGGAGAUUGCCCCAACCUUGUUUGUACGGGAUCGGUGACCGCCCUCAAGGGCCCCUUAGUGAAAUCAUGACAUCUUGUAUUGUCCAAAGGCAUGAGGAGAUUACGGUGGCCCUAGUGGCUUCUUGGGUAGCAUUGUGCCUCCACACUGCUUCAAAUGGAGAUUAGCAUCCGCAAGGGUGUGAACUUUGGGAUACAUCAUCGUCUCCACGUGCCUCGGUUAUCUCUUCCCCGAGCCAUUUACUUAUGCACUUUUACUUUGUGAUAGCCAUAUUGUUCCUUGUUAUAUAUCUUUUUAUCACUUAGUAAUUUAUCUUGCUAAGCAUAAGUUGUUGGUGCACAUACGUGAGCCUAGCUGUCGGGACCCCGAUCCUAAGCCACAGGAAUCCAGCCUAUAACACAUUGCAUCUCUUUGUGGUCUCACGCACGGUUAACUCCACGGCUGCAGCCUUACCUUAGCCGGGACCGUUUGCGUCUUUUAACUCACGUAUACGAUAGUGUCGCUAGCAUUCCAAUGUCAAAGAACCCGGAUCGACAUGUCUAGUCAUAAACCAAAGUGGCAGUUCCGCACAAGGACAAGCAUACAUGACCCAACAAAGCAGGUGUCGGUCAUCCACAAACGUAGACGAGUCGUAGCAAGCUACAAGGACUCCAUUACGUCGCAUGACAUUUCCCCAAAGGGGACAGACACAACAGCUAAGAAGGACACAUGCCGGUCAACCAAUGUGUCCGGAGCAGUAGCGAACUACCAAGGCUCGUUGGAUCACAAAGGGGCAUUUCCUUGUAAGGAGUGCUACUAAAGUUCACGACUAGGUAUUCGAACCCCAUACAUAUCAAGUAAGACACACGUACGCAUGGCAUACCAAUAUGUAUAGAUACAUCGAUGGCAUCACAACAUAACCAUAAACAUACAAGCUUUAUUUAAGAGGCUCGGAAGAGCCACACACAUAUUAUUACACAUUAAGGGUCUCACGACCCAUAAUAUCAGUCACACAAUACAAGCCAGCGGAAGAGUUAUAAACUGUCUGGGUACAGACAGAGCAACUAGAAGGCACAUGGCCUGACUAUACUACAGAGCCGACGUAGGGCUAGAUCGUAGCUGGGACACCAGCUACUCGUCGUCAUCGAUGUCUACGAAGAACCCUCCAUUAGGGUCAUUAGCAACCUCUGCAACAUUUAUUAAGCAAACAUGAGUACGAAGGUACUCAGCAAGACUUUAGGAUGGCUAACUACUCAUGCAAGGUAUCAAGAAGGUAUCGUGGGGUUUCAAGCGGAAAGCCAACAUUUGACUCGUGGCUAGACAACUUGCUUUUGAAAUUAGUUUUGACAACUUGAUUUCUCGCACACAAGUCCACUAACACCACAACAAUACACUAUCGUGGAAUCAUUCCGUCUCCAUACGGAAAUGCCGUCCACGACACUCACGCUUAUCUUGACAAUUUUAGGAGUAGCCAUUGAAAUUAUCUAUGAACAACAUAUGUCUCCAAGUAGUCCAUAUCCGCGGACACGGCUAUUCGAAUAGAUCAUAACCCUGCAGGGGUGUACUUCGUCACAGACGCUCCCGCCACUUAUCGCCAUGUGCACGUCAUGCACCUCGGCAACCUUCAAGCGGAAGCCCAGCGAGGGAGUCGGCCACGACCGUUAACCACACUAGUACCUAGUCCAGGUUUAUCGCCUAUCUCAGAGUAACCCGUACGGAAGUCCGGCCGAGGUUUCCGCCACGGCCUCAAACGAUGUGCGCAGGGUUGCCAAGCCCACCAUCCGGGUGCCACUUGGUACACCGUGCCACUGCCUACCGCAUCACGGUCCACCUCUCAGGUCAGCACCAUGCACGGCCUCCAGCAUUACUAUAAACACCAGAAACUACUUGCAACUCCUGGACCGAGUACUACGCGAUUAAUAGGCCGAGCGGGGUCAUAUUUCAGGGCCCAGCAUGUGGUAGUAUCUAGUCUUGGAUUACAUACACGGAACUCAGGUCCUAAGGACGGUUCCAAUGAAACAACCCGCCAUGUACUCCUACACAGCCUUUCACCGGCACCUUUACCAAAUCAAGUUUAACACACGACCUUUGCUUACCGAACACAUUCCACAUUUCUGUUCAUCUCCCAGAUGACAGACCAUACACAACUCUAAGCAUAGCAUGCAUAGCAGGAUAAGGCACAUCAUAGCUCAAGCAACUACCAGGUAUGCUAGGUUGCAAGGUUCGGCUAUUUACUGUGACAAGGUUAAGUCAUGCAAAGGAAGUGGGUCCAACUAUCGUGGCAAAAGCAGUUGAAGCAUUUGAUCCUAAUGCAUUAAAUAGGUGCAGGAGCAAGAACAUAGGUGUUAUCGGGAUGAUCAAAAGGGGUGCUUGCCUUGUUGCUCAGAGGAGGAACGAUAUCCGUCGGGCGGAUAUUCGGUGGAAUCCGGGGGUGCGGAGCCUACCGAAAUGAACGGCAACAUUCAGUAACAAUCGUGUGCAAUCAAAAUGAUGCAUGAGCAUGGCAUGAGAAUGCAAGUGAUAAGUUAUUAUAAUCAAGAUGUUUUAGGUUUAGAGUUGAUUUGAAUCACAUUCGAAUAGCAAUUCAAACGGGUAUUCCCGGAUACCGGUUUAAUUGAUUCGACCUGAUGCUCAGAUCAACCUAAUGUUAACAUGCAUGGAAUGUCAUGUUAUGGUAUUGAUUUACAUCUAGGGCAGUGUGUGAUCAUUGCAUUUAUAAUGAAAUUUGGAUAUUUUGCAAAUUCCAUUUAUAAAGUGAUUAAAAGAAUUGAAUUAAUCCUUAUUUCACAACUUAGGGUUCUGUAACUUUUUCAAACAUAGUUGAAAAUAGCAUAAUCAGAAUCCUUGAAUUUUUCUGAUACUUUUUCAUAUAUAAAUUAUUUUCAUUGGAGUUACAGAUUAAUUUCUAUGAUUUUUGCAAUUUUUAGCAAUUUCCUGAAUUAUUUUUAUACUGGAAAUUCCAUUUAUUGCAUCAGGUUGACGUCAGCAGGUCAGCCGACCUGUGCAGGUCAAACCUGACAGGGGGGCCCCACUGGUCAGCCUCUCUGGGACUAAUCCCGCGCUGACCAGCCCCUAAUUGGGGUUUGACCAGGCGUGGGGCCCUUUGUCAGCGACUGAGAGGAGGGCGAUUAGGCCCUAAUGGCCGGCCACGUCGACGGCCACCGGAGGGUGGUCGCCGGCGACCAAACCCGCGGCGGAGGGCUCGCCGGAGGCGACCUAGACGGCGCUGCACAGCACCAAAUCGCACGUGGAUGGCAGCUACAGCAAGCUCGCGAAGUGGCCGAUCUGGUAGGACCAACUGGGGAGGCUAGGGUCGCCGGAAGAGGCGUCGGCGACGAGCUGGAGCGGCGGCCGAAGCUCGGGCGUCGUCGGGGGCUUCGAAUCAGGGGGAUCCACGCUUAAUUCUUAGCUGCUACGGCAUCUACGCGUCGUCCUGGAGCUUCUGGUGCUCACGGGAGGACGAGCUGGACAUCGGAGGGCUACCGGCAACGAGCGGCAGCGGCGGUGCUCGUCGGGCUCCGGCGAAACUAGGGCUAGAGAAGGGGAUCGACGGGGAAAGCUUAGGGGAAACCACCGCAUGCUCACAGGGAGUGCAGAGAAGAGCUCAGACGGCUCGGGGAAGGCCUGGGGACGACGAAUCGACGGGAGAUGUCCGGCGGCCGGAGGAAGAAGACGACGGCGUUGCGGGCGUUGCAGGGCUCGAGGGGACUUCGGCUUCUGCAGAGAAGACCAGGGCGACGAGGCGGAUCUAAUGGCGUGCUCGGGGAGGGGUUCCUAUGGCCAGGGCAACGGCCAGCUCGAGCUCGAGCUCGGCUCUAAUGGCGGCAGCAGGGAGAAGGAGGGGAUCCGGGCGGAGGAGGAGAACCGAGGCAGGGAAUGGAUAGGGAAGGCUCUGGGGAGCUUAUCCCCGCCGUCGCCAGCACGAACCGGCGGCCAGGCAGGCACGCAGGUGCGUGGCCGCGCCGGAGGAGGCGGCGGCCACCUCCUGCUGCCUACUGGCGCGGGGAAGGGGACGAGCGGCGAGAUGGGCUGGGCCUGGCGUGGGCGUCAGGUAAGUCUUUUCCUUUUUCUUCUGCUUUUGUUUUUCUGUUUUGCUAUUUAUUGCUUUGCUAAUUAUUUCAGCUCCAAAACAAAAAGUAAAAACUAUUUUAAACCUCCUGAAAUAUUUGUUAUAAUGUCCCCACUCAUUUCCAAGACUUUCAACAAUUUUGGAAAAUUAUAGCUUCUGUUUUCAAAUUUUUAAAUUUGAAACCAGUGGCUUUUGCAUUUAUUUAAAAUGCUUGAAGUGCCAAGGAAAUAGUUUUCUCCAAUGCUCAUUUACUUUCAUGAAUUAUCAGAAAGUUUGAACAUUUCUUGAGGCCAUUUUGGGUUCAUUGAUUUUGAACUAGUUUGAAAUUUCCUUUAAUUGAAAUGGUGGCUAGGGUUUUGAGUUUUUCCUUUGCCACUUUGUUGUUUUUGUUGAAACUUCUUAGAUGCAAAUGCAAAGAAGACAUGAGCACAAUGCUAUCUAGCUUAAGGUUUAGGGAUGUGACACUAGCUGUUAUAGGUUUUGUGCUUGACAAAUUAAAUGUUAGUUUUAUUCCUCAUUUGUUAAAGCCUAAACCGUAAUUACUUUAAAGCGCCUAUUCAACCGCCCUCUAGGCGACAUCCACGUCCUUUCACCAUGGAUUUCGAUCUCUUUGCUCGAAACUCCGUUUCUGAAACUGUUUUGGGGGAUAGCUCCUUGGUAUGUAACUCCACCACUCCUCCAAUUAGUUUUUGCCUUAGUGGUUUAUCUUAGAAGUAAUUAUCUACUCUAGGUGUUGUUGUAGUUGAGCCUGCAUGUUGAAUUCUUGAAGUUCCAAGUAGUUUGAAUUCUUGUUUUAUGCUUUAGGCAUCCUUACAAGUAGUUGCUAUCAUUCUUGUGAAUAUUUGUUAACUUUAUGUUGUGACACAAAUUUUUCAGAAAUUUGUACAUAGGAAUAAUUAGCUAGUUCAGGAGGAGUUCUUCGAAGAAUAAGUCCUUAGAGGCAUCAUCGAGUGAGGCUCGCAUACGACGGUCUUAUGCUUAGCCAAGUCAAAGCUCGAAGCGAGAAUCCCACACCAAAUCAUGCCUUUGGCCAAGUGAUGACUUCAUGUUGGGUGCAAAUAUUAAGGAAGUGUUUGAGCAAUACAUUCAAAAUACUGAGCUUGCACCCUUCACCGUAGAUAAGUGCACACAACAUUAUCAUCUUACUGAAACUUUCACUAAGAGGUUUAAAUUUUAUUCUCGAGAAUUCAGAGUCCCGUGUAACCUCUAUGAAAAUGCCUUCACCAUGUAUCUAGAUAAUUUCUCUAAUGCAUGGAAAAUUCCAUGUUUGGUUUUGCUAGACGAACCACCAAAAUCUUAACACGAGGCAUUUUUAACAAGUAUUUGCUUUGGUGAAGAUAGGGGAGCGACUCAUGGUAGAAUAAAUAGCACACACUUUCCUUCAAUUCGUUACCUAGCACUCCUUAAUGGAAAAUUCAUAGUGGGCAAGCAGGAUUGUAGUACCUUAUUUGCCCAGACUUGUGUCUCCUGCAUACUGCAUUAAUUGGAAUUAACUGUUAUAAUCUUGGAGCAAUAGUAGCACGCAGGUUGCAAUGUAAUUCUGAAAAAGGCCAUUUUUACGCCGCAAUUUACGCCUCUUGUUUAGCUAAGAAGCAUAGUGUGUCACCGCGGUCUAGUGACCCUAUUCUUCCUACUCAAUACUUAGAUUUUGAGGCCAUGAAGUGCCACAAGUUCAUAAAGGCCAGAGCUACUGAUUGUAAUUACAACCUUAUGUUUAAUAAUAAAUCUAUUGACCCUGUUAUGUUGCUUGCACCUUCCCUCUUUGAUUAUUGGGGAAAAGGAAGAUAUUACGUCUAUGGGAGGGAGGUGCAUGAGUAUAAUGCGACAGUGGAGGCUGUCCGUCAGGCCACGGAAUUGCACCAAGGGCUUCCAUGAUCUAUCAUAUGGAGUAUUAUCCAGGUCACUACGGGUGGUGAUUAUCAAGCUAGGCCAAAAGCCCAAGCUUUGGGGAGUACGUGUUUCCACCGACUUUACAUUCAUGCUCACAUAUUCUAGUUGUCGGUGUUCACACUCUUGCAUUGCAUUUUCCAUGUUAGAGUUAUUUUCUUGCUUUCUUCUUGUGUGUUUGAGAAACUUGCACAAAACCCAAAUAGAUUUCUCUUUUCUUCUUUUACUUGUUGGGAGCUUUCCCGUGUAAAUAUUUUUUCUUGUUUUAGUUUUUCCCUUCUUUAAUUUCCCUUCUUCUAGAGAAACUAAAAAACACAAAAAUAUUUUAGUGUGUUUCUAUGAAUUUCUUUUCCUUUUAUUGAGUUGUUCUCAAGGUGAAGACCACGAGGAAAAUAUUGAGUGGCUCUCAUAUGCAUUGUUAUUGAUCUAAUAAAGAGUCGAUAUUACUUUGUCUUCUCCUCUUGAAUAAAAUGUUGUAGAUUCUAGCUUAAUCAUCGGACCCUUUUCACUACUAUUAUUUUCGUAUCAUUUGGUCAUGCAAGUGAAAUGCAAUAAUGACGAUAUUUGAUGAACUGACUGUGGCAGAGAGAAGCGAGUAUGAACUCAACUUGUUUUUGUAUUUGUAAAUAUGUUUAGACAUGUCGGGGAUAUGAACCCGCGGUAUAACCCGCCAUUUGGGCCAGGUUAGACCAUGGGCGGCUUAAGAAGCGUAUAUUCAACGGGCUGUAGAGAUGACAGAGGUAAACGAGAAGACUUACCAAGUGAACCGCCUGGCGGGCCAGUACCUGAAGUUGGUGACUCAAGGCCCAUGAGGUGGAAGACGUGAGAAGCUUUCCUAACUUGGGAAGCAAGAGAACGUAGAAUUGUAAUAGGUCACGGGCGAUUAUUAACCCGGACUCUAUUGUAAACUCGAUGCCUCCACCUUUAUAUAAAGGGGAUCCCUUGAGCCGAAAGGAUCCAGCAAGAAACUCUCGAAAGCUAGGUCAGCUAUUCCGCAU